rnacentral:lncRNA from 1 species
CACUUUCCGGGAACAAAGUUGGUGGCAUAUGACCAAACAUUGUUGUUAACAGGGUCAGCCAAGUGAUCAGCUAGGUUCUCAAUCGGUCCAUUUCCUGUCACAAUAGCUUGCACAAAAAACCCGAACAUGGAGAACAUGGCUAAUCUUCUUGAGCUCCUUCACUUUAAGCUCAGCAAAAGCCUCAGGAUCGUCUGCAAGCCCUAAGGGGUCAAAGCUCCCCCCAGGGUACAAAGGGUCUACAACUUCACCGAGAGGUCCUCCUGCAAUUCUGUAGCCUUCAACUGCACCCAUCAAGAUCACUUGUGUUGCCCAGAUUGCCAAAAUGCUCUGAGCAUGAACUAAGCAUGGGUUUCCCAAGUAGUCUAGUCCACCCUCACUGAAGAUUUGAGCUCCUGCCUUGAACCAAACAGCUUCUCCGAACUUGCUCCAUUACGAGCUAGGAAUUCAGGGAAGACACAUCCUAGAGCACCGAGCAUGGCCCAUCUUGAAUGGAUGACCUCGAGCUCACGGUUCUUGGCAAAUGUCUCGGGAUCGACUAAGAGCCCAGCUGUGUCCCAACCAUAGUCACCGGGAAACUCUCCGGUGAGAUAAGACGGGGCUUCAUUGGAGAAUGGGCCCAAGUACUUGACACGGUCAGGACUGCACCAUGGGCUGCCGGAUGACACAUUUUUGGACUUGGCUGCGGUUUUGCGCAUGGUGAUUCUGCCCUCACCGAGGAGGUUGGAUGUAGAAGAACCAAGCUGUGAGAAGGGGAGAGAGCCAUUGUUGAAGCAGCCAUAUGAGAAAAUGAAAGUGUUUACGAGUGUGUAGAGGGCCGAGUGAUUGUUAUGUUUUGCAUAGAGAAGCAUGGUGGGUAUUUGUAUAGGUUUGAUGCUAGAAAGUCGUUAUCUUUCUGCUAUCUUCAUCCCUUUUCUCACUGGUGAAAUGAAGUUCAAAGAGUUUCAAUCCUUUGAUCAAUUCCAGUUGGCAUGAUAGGCUCCAGUUAUUUAGUUCCACAAAGAUAGCAAUUGGAAAAUAGUUAUGCUUUGAUUUCUGACCAAGUAGAAUUAGCCCUACGAACAUGGCCGUCUUUUUGCAAUAAUGAUCAUAAUGACUCGAUUUCCAGUUGGUUUGAUAUGCACCACCAGCAUAACGUACGUAUAGAUACCAUAGAACAUCAAAGGAGAAAGAAUAAUGAAUUUUUCGACUAGAAAUGAGGAUGUUAAAACUAGACACAUGAUUACAAAAAUCUGAAAUAACAUUAAGAAUCUCUAUAAUUAAGGAUACAUUCAACUAAACAUAAAUUAGAAACAAAAUAUUACUCUAACGACGACUCAUUUGGCAUAUGUAAACCUUCAGACCAAUGUUCUAAAAAAUGCUAGGCGCUAGUCGGGCGGUAGAGGUGAAAUUUUGAAACCAAAAACCGAAAAAAAACCGAGCCGAAAACCAAACCGAAACUGGAAAAAACCAAACCUAAUUAAGAAAAACCGAACCGAACCAAAUUAGUUUGGUUUGGUUUUUGGUUUCGGCCCUUGAAAAACCGAACCGAACUGAAAAACUGAAUAUCCCUAAAACGACGUCGUUUUUUGUCUUUAUUUUCAUAUUAAAUAUUUGAUUUGAACAAUAUGAUUUUUAGGUUUUAUGUUCUAUAUAAUUAUCUGUUUGUCUUUUCUAAUAUUUUGCUUUUUAUUUUCAUUUUAUGUACAUAUAGAAAUGUUUUAGGUGUCGUGUAUGCAAAGUAUAGAGAGUGAUAUGUUACCUCUAAAAUCGAAGACCUUAUUAUUGCGAGCUUUAGAUGACAAAUUCUAAUAUUUAAUUUAUUUUUCUCUUCUUUAUUCAAAUUUAUGAUUUUUAAAAUUUAAAAUUCGGAAUUUAUUUGGAUGAACUUUAAACUAUGGAGUCUAUAUGUUGUGUUCAAGAUGAACUUACAAGUUUUAAAAUUAUGGUUUCAUGGUGUGCUAGUGUGGUCAAUUCUCAAUACUUUCGAAAUUAUUGAGUAUUAAACUUUCAAAGUAUCUAUUUGGUUUAUAAAUUGUUGGUUUGUUGAAGAAAUCAUUGUCAAAAAUUUUAUUGAUAUAUUAUAUAUGCUUAUAAAAAAAAACUAGUAAUGGAAGAAAAAAAAGACCUAAAAUACGAUAAUUUUUUACCAAGGCAAAAGCAUACAAAUUUUAAGAAAAAUUAUUUUAAAAAAGAAGAAAAACAAAAAAAAAACUGAACCAAACCACGGUUUGGUUUGGUUUCCGGUUCAAGGUCUCAAAAAAUACCAAACCAAACUGAAUUUUUUAUUCGGUUUGGUUUCAGGUUUUAUGUGAAAACCAAACUCACCCCUAUCGGGCGGACAGCCGGUGACUAGCGCUUAAACGGGUCAAUCGGGAGAUUAAUCAGUUUUCUAACUCUCUAGACGGAAACAGUGAAGCACCGCCUAACACGUAGGCGUGGAUUAAUCGGCUAUAAGCGGAGAUUUUUAAACCAUUGCUUGAGACAACAACUAGUCCUUAAAACUUGUAUGACGAAAUUGACUGUGGCUCAAAUUAUAAGGAGCUACAUUUAGAAUAUCUGCUGCUAUGGGGCAAGUAAGCAAAACAUGGGAAGUAUCUUCAUAAGGACAUGGGCAUGAUAUGCAUCAAGUAUCACCUGUAUAACCCUUUGUAGUAAGUGCACGUACCUCUCAUUGGCAGUCGGUUAAAGCAAGCUUUCCAGAAGCAAAUACGCACCUCCUCGGUACUUUUGUUUUCCACAAUCGUUUCUGCUAUAAGCCGUUUUUAUGGUCAUGUCUUUUUUUUUUUUUUUUUUUUUCUGUUUUAGGUAGAACAAAAUUUUCUUGCCUUGCUUUUUUUUUUCAAUAUGAUAUUUGUUUGCUCAAUACCAUUUUGGUCUAGUGACAUAAGUCUCUCCUUGUAAAUGAGAAGUCGUGAGUUCGACUCAUAGUAUUGUAGCAUAUUAUUGUGCGUUUGAUCCAAAAAUAAAAUAUGAUCUUUAUUUGGGAUCAUAGCGUUUUUUUGCUUUUUGCUUCAAUAUGCAUGUGGACAUUUUAUGUACUUAUAGGCUCAAUUAUGGUGUGAGCUGAAAUAUGUAGUAGGAGUGUUACCUGUACGUGGAUUAUUUGAUCUUAUUUACCCUCUUUACACAAGACAAUGCAUUGAUUCAUGAUGUAUCAUUUAUUUGAAUGGAUUGGAAUAUCUUCUUUAAUUCAAAAAUUAAUUAAAGAUCUCUUUCCUUAAGAUUGUGAGCAAACUUUUGCAUUUAUACAUAAUUAAUGGCCACUAUGAGCAAGUAAUAUUUAUUUUCAUUACCUAUUAAAGUUCAUUCAUCGCUAUAUAAGCAUGGAUGUAGCAAGAAAACUCCUAUAGUUUAUUCUAAGCCUGAGCCAGAGAUAAAAUGAUGAGAAAAGCAUUGUGGCAGCUCUACUGUUUUCUGCUUUUCCUUGUCCUAGCGCAUUGCAUUCUCCAUUGUGGCAGCCACCCUGUUUGGGGAAGAAAGUAUUUCGUCCGUAUUGUUAACAAUCUCGAAAACAACGAAGUGCUUAACUUUCAAUGUAAAUCCCUAGAUGAUGUAAUUGGUCCGCGUACUCUUCCUCCAUUUGGUGAAUUUGAAUUUAAAUUUCACUUCGGCCCUGAUACAGUGUUUGAAUGCUCUACGUGGUACUCAAAUCGCAUGGCUAAUUUUACAGCAUGGGAACCAAUUGUUCAACCUUUAUGAGGCGGGGCGCAUUUAAUUUAACUAUAUACUAAAGUAUGGUUUACUGUUCAUAAUCACUGUUCACAUCACAUGAAUAGUGCACUGUUUGGUGGGUGUGAUUCUGUUUAUGCCCUCUGUUUCUAAAAAACCACGAAAUUACCAUUAACCCUAGAUAUAUGAUUGUCUUCUAUAUAAUUAGUUGUUGUUGAGGAUGUUGUGGGUUGGGAAGUAAUUUUUGAACUCUUAUCUUCAUUACCGUGUCUCAAUUUUUUUUUUUUUCAUAGAUCUCACAAAGGGUAUUGUUAUCGAAGUCAAUCUAAAAUAGGGUAGUGGUAUCAUAGACCAAGGUUGAGCAAGUUUAUUUUCUUAAUUAUUGAGGUGAAACAAUUUUGGUUCUAUUUUAGCAACGGAAUAUUAAUUGAAGUACAAAUAUCUUUGAUUUGGCCAAAGAAAUUAUCUGGUUGCAAACCAACUCCUAAUUAACAAAACGUACUAAGUUAAUUUAAAUAUCGUGUGAUGAAGUACUAUGUUAUAUAUACUAAUGCAAUAUAUUUGGUUUUUGUUUUGUUUACUUUUAAUUUACUUGGUUUCUCAUCUUUGGUUUUAGUUUUGUUUACUUUCAAUUGAGUUGGUUCCUCAUUUUUUGUUUGGUUUUUAUGUCAAGUUCUCAUCUUUGACAUUUUGAGAUCAGUCUCUUUAGGAGCUUGAGAUAAAUAUUCUUUUCAGUUAAUUAAUCACUUGCUUUGUGUGUGUGUGUGUGUGUGUGUUUUGUUUUUUUUUUUUCUUUACUNUAGUAUNAUAUANCUUUAUUAGUUAGUUUUUAGUUUUUUUUUUUUUUUUUUUUCCUAUCUUUAGUUUCCUAUAAAUCAAGUUUUCUAAAAAUUGCGUUUUUGGUGAAAAACAGUUAAACAAAUAUGAGCAUUUUGUAUAGUCAAAACUAGAGCUAUAUUUUCGAUCAUACUGCUUCAGAUAAGUUGUUCUAUUUUGUGCACUUACAAGACAUUUACUAUUUUGGAUAGGUUACAACACUAGAUGUUUUGUAUUGAAGUUCUAUGAAGUACAUAUCAAAAACUUUUUCAUCAAUCAACUGAAUCAUUAACCAGUUUUAUAAAUAUACACCGCGCCAAGGCGCGGGUAUCAACUCUAGUUGUAUAUACAGUGUGUGAUCUGCUACUGUGUUCAGGUACAACAUAGCAACUCGACGAUAUGUAGGAGUCAUUAAUUUUUGGACUGUAGUACCAUGAAAAUGUUUGGGACAAAUGUAGUUUCAAACAAGAAAUAUUUAUAAGCUACAAGUAUGUUUUUUUAUUUUUUAUUUUUUUUAUAUAUGAAUAAAGGGCUGGUGCGGCUGUUUUCAAGCCUUCAUUAAUGAAACUGUCGAAUACAAGAGGGGCAUAUAUAAAGCCUAAACCCCUGAUUACAAAGACCCAAAAUAAUAUCGAGAAUCUCUAUAAAAUACAUGUAUUCUGAUAAACACCAACUAGCAAAUAGUACUACCCUAAAGACGAAUAUAUUUGCUUUGUCAUAUCGGUGACAUAAUGGAAAGAUCACUAGAUAUGUAACACGAUUACUUAUCCUAAUGUCUGAUAAAGAAUAGUACACAAGAAGUUAAUUAGCAAAGAAUAUUAGAAUACUUAUAUAUACACCAAGUUCUAAUACCAAACGUGAUCGAUCCAAUUUUUUUAUUUUUUUGAUGAAAGGGAUUGUAGUAAUCAAACUGGGCACAAAUUAUCUACCCAAACUACAGGAUUUGGAGCUGCAUAUGUUGUACUAGCCAAUCUGUGCGCCACUGUAUUGCAAGUUCUACUACCCAUGAGAGAGAGUCAUGGAUGUCACAAAGUAACCCUUCCAGCCCUACAUAGGUACCUUGCGUAUAGGAGAUAACCAAAAUUGCCUCUAGACAAUCUGUUUCUAUGAUAGCACAUACACAAUGUUUUCAAAAGUUUUAGUCCUUCUUUGAUAGCAUAUACCUCCGCCUUCUUUGCAGAGACUACUGGGGCAAUAGGAAUGACCAAAGCUGCCUUGAAUUUUCCUUGAUUAUCCCUGAGUAUCCCUCAAGUGCCUCCACGAAGAAAUGUUGGAAGAAAGCUACCAUCCACCAUGAGUUUGGUUUCCAUUUCUUGUGUUGUAGUUGGGGAGUCUGCCUUACUGGAGGUUGUAUUUGAACUUGUUGGUUUUCAUUGAACUAGGCCAUUGCCCAUGCUUGUACUUCUUGUGCUGUUUGAUGCUUUUCAUUCCAUAGUAUAUUGUUUCUGUUAGGCCAAAGAGACCACAAGCUGAUGAGAAGUUUGGCAAAGAGCUCCUUUGGCAUAUGUAAACCUUGAGACAACAACCAGUCCUUAAAACUUGUACGAGGAAAUUGAAUGUGGCUCAAAUUAUAAGGAGCUGCAUUUAGAAUAUCUGCUGCUAUGGGGUAAGUAAGCAAAACAUGGGAAGUAUCUUCAUAAGGACAUGGGCAUGAUAUGCAUCAAGUAUCACCUGUAUAACCUUUUUUAGUAAGUGCACGUACUUCUCAUUGGCAGUCGGUUAGAGCAAGCUUUCCAGAUGCAAAUACGCACCUCCCCGAGUCCCCGUAAUUUUUGCUUUCCACAAUUGUUUCUACUAUGGGUCCGUUUUUUUUUUUUUUUUUUUUUCUUAGUUUCAGGUAGAACAAAAUUUUCUUGCCUCUUCACAAAAACAUUUCUUGCCUUGUUCGUUUUUUUUUUUUUUUUUUUCAAUAUGAUCUUUGUUUGUGAUCAUAGCGUUUUUUUGCUUUUUGCUUUAAUAUGCCUCUGGAUAUUUUAUGUACUUAUAGGCUCAAUUGCGAUGUGAGCUGAAAUGUGUAGUGGGAGUGUUACCUGUACGUGAAUCAUACACAAGACAGUGCAUCGAUUCAUGAUGUAUCCUUUCUAUUAAGAAAAACAUAAGGGUCUUAUGACUUCUACUUAGUUGCUGAUUCAUAGAAUUAUUACCACUCUUAGGCUCAGUUUAGGAUUGCAUUUUUGGGUUAAAUCCUGCUUUUUCUCACCCAUUUAUGACUGAUAGCCUGUUUGGUAAGCAUUUCAUAUCUGCGUUCUUUUAACGAUUGCGGCCGGAAACCGCAAAAAUGAAAAGCAGCGGAGGACCUGCUUUUUCUUAUCCAGCGUUUUGUGAACGUGAAUCAAAUAGCCUGUACAUUCAUGAAAUUCCAGAAACAUCCCCACUGAAAUUCAAAAGUCAAACCCCUCGGAAUUAAUUCUCGUUCUCUUCUUCUGGGUUUCUUUCGUUUUUUGCCUUCUUUUGCAGCUCCUCAUCCCCUUGCCUUCGUACCUCUCUCUUCACAGCUAUUCACUUCUUCUUUGAUGGAUUACUGUAUCAUAUUAUUUUAUAUAUAGAUCUGUAAUUGAUCGUAAGGUGAUCGAGGUUUCCAUCGAAUCGCAUACACUUCGUAAUUUGAUGAGAAGAACAAAAGAUCCAUAUGAGUCAAAAGAUCUGUAUCUAUUUUUGAAAUUCUUUGUUUUUGAUAUCAUGUUUACCAAACAUUGUAGCAGUACUUAUUUUUACCUCAACACUUUCAAAUAUAUGAUUUACCAAACAUUAUACCGAGAUUUUUUACAACAGAUUAUUUUUACAACAGAGUUAUUUUAAAGUAGAGUUUAUAUACCUCAAUAUCAAACUAGGCUUUAUUGGUGGACAUAUAACCAAAAUGACGGUUUCUGAUGUCCUAGAAAUGAAAAACAAAAAUUUGAAAGAGUGGCAUUAUUUUUUGAGCAAUUUAAUGACAUCACACAUUAUAACCUAUACUAAAGACCUAUCUCUAAUGUACCGUUCAUUUUAUUUGUCCUUAUUCUCUCGAUAAAUUUUUCAGUAUUUCCGAAAGACCAUGUGGCAUUGCCUGGUUAUCCAAGCCUAUGAGACGUUGACACGUGACACUUUUUAGACAACUCGCAUCAAGGUUAAUUCAUUUAGUUUUCAACUGCAGUAAAACAAACCCCUCAACUAUCGCCGUUAAGUGAUAGUGUGAUAAAAAAAUGUAAAUCUCUGAAUUUUGUUCGUCCUCUCGCCGUCUGCCUUUCUCUUUGUGUUCUUUUCAGCAGAAGCACAAGGAAGCUUGUGGGUUCAGUUAAGCCUUGUCGUCGCCCAUAAGAUCCACUUUGUCCAACAAUUGGGAUUUUCAGUUCCCCGUAGCUAUUACCCGAUCUCCUCCACGCGUCCCCAGGUUUCUUCUCUUCUCUUCUCAUUUCCCAAUUGUUUUUCUUGCUCUUUGGGUCUUGCUAGUUUUUGUUAAUUUUGGUUAGAGAGUUGAAUGAUUGUGAUCAGACUCACUUUUCGGAGAAGAAAAGAAAAUUGAAAAUGGGAGAACUGAGUUCAAAGAAAGAGAAUUUGGGAAACGAAAUCCGCACAAACCGACGGAGGUGAGUAUUCGACGAUUUUGGUUAGUUAUAUGGAAUUGAUGAAACUUCGACGGCUCUCCCUUCUUGAAUAUGUUGUUUAUGGGAUUUGAUUUCUACACCAAAGUGAGGAAAAUUCUAUUAAGCUAUCAUAUAUUCAUAUUGGCUAUGAUUGAAUGGUACAUGACCAUAAUAGCUUGAAUUCCAGUAAAAGCUUUGUGGAUUUGGGAUUUGAAGUUUGAGGUUUUAUUUUUAUUUUUUGGAUUUGAAUUUUGCAGUUUUUGAAAUUUUACAUGUUAGUUGAUGUUGUUAUCCUUUUCAUGUUAAAGUCCAAUGUAUGAUUUAGCAGGUUAGAUGAGAUAUUGGAUUUGCUGAACCUUCAGGUAGUUAGAAAAUAUGCCAAUGUCUCCAAUGGAGGGGUGCCAUUUAAUUAGAAAGUAAACAUCCCACAUUGUUAUCAGCCCUAGACCACCAUUUUACACAUUUCAGACCAACAAUUUGAUUGCUUGUUUUCUCUGCUAUGUACUCAAAUCUAUUACAGCUACUGGGAUAGCUGCAUCACCAAAACUAGUUCUUUGUGUAUCACAGCUUAUGACUCUAAUUGUUUUACCAUCAAGGUCACACAGAAUACUUGAUUUUGGAUUAGUCAUUUACUUAUCCAUUUUGUCAAAUAUGGGUUCUGCUGAGAAAUGCCAGGAUGGCAAGUAAUUAAGCAACAAUUUUUGGAUGAUCCUUCUGAAACAACUAUAUACAUAGCUGGUUUGCAGGCUGCAUGGAAGCUUGGUGCUGCAUUCAAAUUGGUUAUCAUUUGAUUAUGACACUGCGUCUAGUAUCUGCUAAGUUUAUUGGUCUUUAGGUUCAAAAGUUUCGUUUUAUCGAAACUCUUAUGAGUUUUAUUUGGUUUGCAUAUAGUUCUCUUUUGAAGCUUGUAUUAUAUCUAAAUAUUUCUCAUGUUCUCUUUUUAGAUCUACCCCAAAUCCUGUUUUUUCUUUUUUUGAAUUCUGGGUGCACAGGCAGUGAGAUUGUAGUUGUCAGUGACAAACUAAGGAUAAAUUGGAAGAGCUUUAAGGUAUCUCAAUCAGUGAUUUCCUGAAUUACUUCAUUUGGAAGAGCCUUAAGAUAACUUGGUUAUUCUGAUUCCUAUAUGAUGUCUGAUAAUGUGUGGACAUGGGUGCAGGUUGAACCGUAACAGAUGAGGAUUGGCAUAGUUGAGUUUGAGGAUGAUGUGGUACUUGACAGUGAGGGUGACGAAGUUAAUGGAAGGUGACUCAUACAAGUAUGUCUCUGGACAAAAAGUGCACUGCAGGUUUGUAUAUUUGCUUCUUCUUUUUUUUGUUGUAUUUUGGUUAAUUUUUUGAUAGCAGUUGGCGUUGAACGUGUUGAUGAUAUGAAGUUUUUUUUCUUAAUGAAUGCUUGAGGAAGUAAUCUCUGCAAGACUUUGCAUUUACUAAUUUGAAUGACAAGUUUCUUGAAAUAAUUUUCAUACUACGGAGGAGUAAAGGCCGAAAUAUUUGUGCUGCUUGCAGAAUUUAGCUACAUCGACUCCCAUGAUCUUGGUUGGUCGCAUUACUGUAAGAGAAAGACAUUAGAUAAAUGGCUUUCAAACAUAUAUAUGAAGAUAGCUAGCAUCUAGGAUAAUAACAGGGUUUCAAAACUUUUCAAAUAUCGAUAAAAAACUGUGUGCUUGGUCAUAGUUAAGAUCAACUCAGUUAAAAUUGCAUAUGUGAAUGUGUAAAAUUCAAUCUUUGUGCAUAUACCAUAGGGACCAUUAGCACUCAAUAUUCAAUGAUAUAACUCAAAACAUGCAUCUCUCACAAGAAGUAAUGUUUUCAGCCAUUAACGUAAAACCUGAAGAGGAUAGAACUAUUAUGUUUCGAGUCACUUUCGUUUAACCAAAAACUAAUUAGGUCUCAUAGCUAGAAUACCAGCAUGAUGAAGAUGCCAAGGUGCAUUUGAGCAGCAGAGCAGUGAACUCCAGAUGCAAUGAACACCCAAAGUGAUAAUUGUAGAAAUAUAAUCCAUGUUACUUGAAGCAUUUUUCUCCUUAUGUGCAUAAACUAAAUGUCUAUUUAAAAGAGCUCUUACUUUGCUUUAUUGAAGGAUAUAGAUUGUGUCUCAUGUAUAUCGAUCUUUUUUUUUCUUCAUCACAUUGCUUAAUGAGCAUGCACCUUUGUUGUAUAGUCCAAUGGACUAAUUACAUUUUAUUUUUAGUUACAUUCAUGAAAUAUGUAGGAACCUCUAUGCAAUACUCUGAACAAGAAACAUGACAAGAAGUAUGUUCCAAUUUUAUAUGCUAAUUUUAUUGUUCCUUAUGUGGGAUAGAUGGGGUUGGAAGAAUUGUUGGACUGCUAAUCGAUCAGAGGAAGGCCCCAUCAAAGUGGAUGUCUAACCUGUUACUAGAGCUCUUUAAUUUGAUGAUGUAAACUCAGGUUGUCUGAGAGGGAUUUCCCCUUAGUGUUUGUUUGUUUCGUAUCAAAAAAAAGAGUGAAUGUCUAACGCGGACCAAACAAAAGUGGAGGUGUCAUCAUGCAUCUGGGAAUCAUACACCUGCUAAAUUUAUGCUUCGAAUUUCCAGUAUUUUUCCGUGUCUCAACAAUUGUAAAGUUCAUUCGUAUCAAAAAAACAAUUUGUAAAGUUCAUUCUUCAUAGAGUUGUGAGCAGCAUAUUGUAUCAUGAGGAAUUGAUGGGCUCGGAUGCAUAAUGAUUUACGUUUGCAGGAGCCAGGAGAGUUUGGUAUGCCGUUGGAACUUGGAAACCAUGUAGGUAACCAGUUUUGUUGGACAAAGAGGAUGACAAACUCUUAUUUGAAAUGGAAAGCUUUGGUAAACUAUUCAAACCAUGAGAUAUCAAUGUAGCACAAGACUCAUUUAUAUAUCCGACUUUGCCGUGUGUAGUUUGUAUAUAGAUUAUAUCCUUGCUAUGAGGAAAAAAAAAUAUAUAUCCGGCGUAAUUGGGAUAGAAAACGAUCCCCGCGCGGGAAUACCAGCUAGUACAUGGACUAAUCCUUAUAUGAACAAUUUCUAUUCGGAAAUCUAUUACAUGUAAAGCUUCAGACAUGGCAUAAUUCUAGUAACCGAAGAAGUGGCGUCUUAUAUUUAUCUGAAGCUCGUCAGGCAAAUUUUCCAAAAUACGUUCUUCAUUUACAUCCGUGGCAGAAUAUUGUUCGGCAUUUCUCACUUGCCUUCUAAACUCUUCAGGCAAGUUUCUGUACCUCAUCCACGCCUCAACAUCACGCCUCCUCAUCAACAUAUCAGACCUCCUAAAAAACCAAAAGAAUGAGAAAGGCUGAGAUGUAUAUAGAUUCUUACUAUCAGUAACCUCUUUCUCUAACAAAAAAAACUCUAGAAGAAAGAAAGUGGUAAUAAAGUCACGAUCAAACAAUAAAAAUGUGGUCAGCAUAUAGAUUCUUACUUUCAGUAACCCCUUUCUCUCAAUUAAAAAAAAAACUCUAGAAGAAAGAGAAUGGUAAUAAAGUCAAGAUCAAACAAUAAGAGUUAAGAAACAGAUUGGACAAAAAAAAAUAAAAAUAAAAAUUAAGUACCUUUGUCCAAGAGACUGGAGAAAAUUUUGCAUGUUUCCGAUCAGAAGAGCAAGGAGGAAGAGUCCCAGUCCAAUAAUUACCAUCGUAAAGAUAAUUUCACCAUUGUUAUAGCUUGGAGUUAGAUUUCCUCCCAAAGUGCUGAUUUGCUUAAUAAAUCACAGGAGAUAAUAUGUCAGCAUAAAGGUGUAACUUAUUUAUGAAAUCAUAAUAAAAUAAAGGGAAGUUAUCAGCAAUUAGAAUGUAAGGUACCUGAAACCCCCAAAACAAUGAGUAUAGAUAUUUAGUAAUGAUAUGUCCCGUAGUGAUAUUGAUAAUUGGCGCAUAGAUUCCAUAUGAGAAGUCUCCAUUGGGACUAAAACAAAGAGCAGCCUUCUCAUUUAGUCUCCGUUUAGUAAUUAACUCAUCCAGGGAAAGAUAACGAGCAUGCCAACAAUCUAUUAAGUUCGGGCAUGACUGCAUAUUAGAAUUGUGGCAGGCGUCUUGAAGACAUUGGUUAACCCUCUGGAACAAGAAAAAAAAUACAAAUGUUCUCAGUGGCAUAGCCAGAAACUAUCACUAGAAGGGUCAAAAUUUAAACAAUAAUACUAUUGCCUGUUAAAAAAAAUUAAAAAAUUAAAAAACUAUUGAAUGACAUAAAAAUGUAUGAAUUAUUACAUCAAUAAUUAAAAAGGACAAAAAGUAGGUUUUCCUAAAGCAAUUAUAAUUGUUCACGACAAUUACUCAUAUUUUGAAAUAUUUUCAUGAUGGUUUCACCGUCAAAUAUAUCUUUCUCAAUAUAUGUAAUCAUGAACAUGUCUCCCAUUCGGUUUCGCAAAUCACUUAUAUAACCGUCAUGGCAAAAAAUGCUCUUUCUACAGUGACAAUUGCAACUGGAAGAAUCAGUGUCAAUGUUAUGAGCAAGUAAACUAACGGAUCAACCUGGUUUUUCUGUUUCAACAAUUUUUUCUCGAAGCUCACUAAUUUCUUUCAUUUUUUUCCAAAGUACAUUCAUUGGAUCUAUCUCUAUUCUGAAGUACAGCGACAAUUGCAACUGGAAGAAUCAGUGUCAAUGUUAUGAGCAAGUAAACUAACGGAUAAACUUGGUUUUUCUGUUUCAACCAUUUUUUCUCGAAGCUCACUAAUUUCGGUCAUUUUUUUCCGAAGUACCUUCAUUGGAUCUAUUUCUUAUUUGAAUAGCUUGAGAUGCUGUCAACUGAUCCGUUGCUUUCUUUACAAUAUUUUUGAGAAAAUUUUCAUAAUUUCAAAUNNNNNNNNNNNNNNNNNNNNUUCAUAAUUUCAAAUAUUAAUUCUAAAGGUUUUGACUUGUUGUUUGUAGGGAGAAAUGUUUAAAGAACAAAAAAAGGAAUUACAGUUGAGAAGAAUUUAAAGAGCAUGAUAAGAGACAAAUAAAUUGUAGAAGCUUGAAUUUAUAUAGACGCAAGGUAAAUCAUGAAUCGAUUAGGAAGACAAAAAUGAAUAAUAAAUCUGUCCAAAUAUGAGAUGAAAGCAAACUUCUUUCCGAAAACUAUUUUCUUACUCCUAUAUUGAUUAGUAAAAAACAUGGGGUUAGAACUUAAAAGCUUUUCUGUCGACAAGGGUGGAGUAGUCUUGUCCAAACCAAGACAAGAUUUGGAAGGAGAUUACAAAUAUUUAAGACAAGUCUUGUCCAUAAGGGUCAAAUCUUGUUUCAAAGUGUAAUAUAUAUAUAUGUUGCCCCAACCAAUAGAAAGUUAGCUUAAAAUGUUAGAGGGUUCAAUUGAACCCUCUCGCCCCAUUGUGCCUACGCCCCUGAAUGUUCUAUUAAUUUGUUUUGACUUUAUCAUAAUUAAUUGCAUCAUAAAUUUCUUGUGAUUAUUGACUUUGGUAUAUAUUUAUAUAUUAUACUCAUUAGGUUUUUUUUUUUUUGAUCAAAUGCUCAUUAGGUAUUUAGUAAAAAUUCUGAUAUUUCUUUAAAAUAAAAAUAAAAAUUCCAAUAAAUAUGAAACAAAUAAAAAGAUAUACAAUUUAAAGACGACGUAAACCUUGUUAGUUGACUCAUAUUUAAAUUAUGGCAAUUUGUGUAAUUCUUUUGAAAAAAAAAAAAAAGAAAUCUAAUAUUUGAUCCUAGUUGGCAAUAAUUGGGUGUAAUUUAAAACAAUUUUAUGAGUGAGUUUAAUAUAAAAUGUGAUUUGAAUAUUAAGUGUAAAAUGAAAUGCCUCAUCAAACAAAUACGGGGAAAUAUGCAUCAUUAGGUUAGAUAAAAUGAAAUCUCCACACACCUGUAAGCCAAAGAGGUACCACCAUGACCCAAUGACAUGGGCAACCAGCAAAAAACUGAGUGUGUUUACAAUGAAAUUCGUCCAAAUUGACCCGAAUACAAAGAAUCCAUUCAAUGAUCGACCAGCAAGAAGGGACAAAACCCUAUACACCCUAGGAAAGUAUUGAAGAAAUAUUGCCAGGUGUAGAAGAUUCUUGGUCUCAUUUGUUCGUAGAGAAAAUCUUCCGUGCAACAGCCGCACCAGCUGACAUGUGCGACCAGCCGACCAACAAGUGCCUUGAUUUUUUCCACGCCAGCAAACUACGAAAAAGGCUCCAAGUUUAAAGUUGAAAUUUCAUUAUCCCGCCGGAAGCCAGAGUUAUAUUUAAAUUAGGAUUUCUAGGUGGUUAUUCUAAUCCAGGGAAGAACAAACGCCUCACUUUUCAGAUUACGGUCUCCUCAUUCCUCCCACUCACUUUUCUCCCACCGAUACUGAUAAUUCAUCAUCUCAUUUCCUACCGUUUCCAAAUUCAUGAACACAGAUCUUUCUAGACCCGAUUCAUGAACAUAGAUCAUGCUCGACCCGAUUCACGAACAGAGAUCUUUCUCAACCCGUUUAGUUCAUUCUCAUCGGUCAGGUAUUAUCUUUCUAUGCUGAAAUUAUGUGGCACCUCUUAUCUUCAAUCUUUUAUUCUUUGUGAGUGUAUCGUGUGGAUGGGAUGGACUGGAGAGAUAGAUAAUAGUUGAAAAGAAGACCAUGGGGAUGAGUUGGUUUUAGUCUCCAAAUUGAGGUUUAGGAGGUGGGUCAUUUUCUUGGAAUUCCAAUUUUUUGAGGUUUGGGAGGUGGUUUUUUUUGGGUUUCAAUCUGGACAUCUUACAUGCUUUGCCAUGGAAAUAGUACAUGCUUUGUUGUAUAUAGGAAUGAAUGAUGUGAACCCACCUGGAUUACUAGUCUGAUAGUCUCCGUUUGCAUAGACUUUUCUUAAUUCAAUUUUAGAUGCACACAGUUCUUUUUCCUGGAGCUUGCUUUCAGGUACUUGGAUAUUUCACACUUUCUCUAUGUUGGUCUUUUCCCUUUCAUGUAUUUUUCAGUUUGUUAGUUAUAGGAAGUGAUCAAGCACAUUCUUUGUCAUGGCUAUUUGGGAGGUUAACAGUGUCUCACUGUCUCUAUUCUCUAAAUUAGUUAAAGAUGCUUUUUGUUCAGAGCUUUUUAUUGUGUCUUUAAUUAGACAAAGAUAGUUUCUUUAUAGCAGUAGUGAACAAGGGUUUAAAGUAGAUGAUUUUCUUUUGAGUUUAUUGUUUUGUGCGUGUGUUGCAGUGUUAGAUAUUAGUAGAUAAGCUAAAGGUGAUGACGGAUCAGCCAAAAGCCAAGAGGUACAAAAAUCUCUGCUCACGGUUUACAACUAAUAAUACUCCAUCAAGUGAUAGUGACGAUGAGAUUGAGAUAGGGAGUGGGAGUAGAAAUGUGACUGUGGAUUGGCAUUGUUGACAGUUUUGGUACUCUAUGUGCGUGCAUACAAGGAAUGAAAGCAUUUCGAAGAGAUUGCCGAAGCUACAGAAUUCAAGAGAAUCACUUUAUAUUGUAUCAAUCUAUUAGCUCCGAUCGAUUAGUACUUUAUUAUGAUACAUUGUGGUGUAAUUUUGACACAAGUAAUUUUUCAUUGUGUUAAAUUUAGUUGUUACAAUUAUAAUCAAUCAAAACCUUCAUUUGACAUCUCUUUUUCAUUGUCUUCCAUUUUGUUUCAGUAGAAUGUACCUUGAGUAACAUUAUCAUAUCUUGAUCAGAGGCUUGGUUUCAUCUCUGGAUUUUGUUGCAUUAUUACCUUUUGGUUUGUGUCAAAGAUUAAAGAUAUGGUUAAAAAUUGAGAAAGAAAAAAGCUGAUGGAAAGAUACUUGAAUUUGUGAUGCUUAAACUACUAAGAUAUACUCAAUGAUCGAAUGUAAUCAUCAUAAAAAAAUAUUGUAGCACAGGUUACAUACAAAAGUUCGAUCAAAACAAGCUCUAAACAUGUCUUCGAUUCAGUUCUUAUAAAAUGCUCAUGUUAGUACUACAUCAUGAAACUUGCACACAUGACUUCAGUUCUCAUAAAAUGGUCCUCUUAAUACUGCAUCAAUGAAACCUGCACAAUUUAACUUCUGUAACUAUACUGUAAUUCAGGUUCAAUAUCAUCAACUCAAGCAUAUAAUAUUAAAAUACAGAACUAACCUCACUGAGGUUGUUGUCUAAGUGUAGGAUCAAUAGUCAAAGUCGCAGUUGGUGCAAGAUUCAACCCUGUAGUAUUCUACAAAUAUAGAACUAGUUUAUUUUCAAUAUAGCCAACUAAAAUGUAUGAAUGUACUAAGAUUUCAAAUAUACAUAUACCUGGUUUGAGAAAGGCAUCUGACCAUAACUAACAUGUGAAUGAGGAUGCUCAAAAGGCCAACUUAAAUUUCCCUGAAAGAGAAUGACAUGUAUGAAUAUGUUCAGUCUGUAAUACAUAAAGAAACAUACAUAUAAAGCUUCAAAAUGCAGACCUGAUUACUGAAUGUUGGGGUGUUGGGUACUCCAAACUGAUUACUCACUGUUGGGAUGUUAGGUACUCCAUACUGAUUACAGAAUGUUGGGAUGUUAGGUACUACAAACCGAUGAUUAUUGAAUGUAGACACAUCAGUUGGAGCUUUUGGAUCAUUAUUUUCUUGGUUUUCUUGUUCUGCAUCAGUAAAAAUUUCAGCUAUACAAAGUACACAAAACAAGAACUAUCAAUAUAAGCUUAUUUAAGAACUAUAUAAAAUAUGUAUGUACCUUUUGUUCUCUUCUUCCUUUGAUUUGUCUCCAUCACAUCUUUGAUUCUACUAUUUUUCAUUCCCUUAGUCUUUGCAUUUGGUGGGUUCAAAACUAGUGUCUCAUUACUAGAAAUGGUAGAGCCAGACUCAGCACCAAAAUUCUUCAGAUUUUCCAACACGUAAAGGGUGUCCUUGUCUUUUUCAAGACGCUUCAUUGCCUCUGUUAACAAAUGCUUGACAAUUUUAGUACCUAAACUAGUUAAUGAGGCUAUGUCAUACACAUUAUUUCCUUCAUGCAUCAAUUCGCUGAGGCGCAACACUCUAGCAGUCUUUAAAUUCUCACUUGUUCCUACACUUGUGUCACUGCUGACCACUACCGUACCCCUUUCUUUGCCUCUUUAGUCCACCUCUUCAAUAUAUACUGAGUUGGUAAAGUUGUGAUAUUAUUUGUAUCAAACACCUUCAAAGCAUGACGACACAAGAUCCCAACAGACUUAAAUGACUUACAAGAACAAGAUAUGCUCAAGGAUGUAGAGUUGUAUUCAAUCUUGUGCACACUUUCACGACCAUCUUCAAUUGCUUCAUAUACAUAAACUUGAUCUUUACUGGAAACUUCUUUUAGUCUAACUCCCAUACAACUAUAGAAUUCUGUUUCAAAAAACUGAAAAAUUUUGUUAGUAUAAACCUUGGCAGCACUGCUUAACAUCUUAGUCCAUACUUUUGGACGACGUGCACCAUUUUUGCUACGGUAGUCAUCUUCUAACUCUGUUAAACGCAACUCUUCAAUCUUUUUCUUAUAGUGAUGAACAAAUUUAAUAAGCUCCAUUGUGUGUGUAGAAAUUCCUUGGAACACAUUGUUUGUACUUUCACUCCUUUGAGUAGAUCUAAUCCUUGCCGAAAAAGUGUCCAAAUUAAAUGCUGCACACCACUUCUGUCGGAGUGAAUACAACUUUGCUAGCCAAGGAUUAUUUCCGAGAUUAUAUCUACCAAUCAAGUUAUCCCAUAAAACCUGAAAUUCAAUUUCAGAACAGCACCCAUGUAAACAAUGGUUGAAUUGCUUCUUGAACUCUGGAUUUCCAAGAUAACUACCAAUUUUCUUUCGGCAUUCUUGCCAAUAUGCCAAGUGCACAAUCAAUGGGAUGCACCUGGAAACACUAUUUUAACUGCCUUUGCCAUUGCUUUAUCUUCAUUUGUGAAAAUAGUUUUUGGUGCUUUAUUUCCCAUCGACUCCAAAAAGGAUUCGAACAACCAAACAAAAGACUCUGUAGUCUCAUCUAAUAGAAAUGCACAUCCAAACACAACAUUUCUCCAAUGAUGAUUAACUCCAACUAUUGGAGCACAAAUCAGAUCAUACUUGUUUGUACGAAAUGUUGUAUCAAAGCAUAUAACAUCACCAAAACAAUCAUAAUCUGACUUUGCUCUACCAUCCCUCCAAAAGAAGUUUAUCAUUCAGCUAUAUUGGUCCAAUUGCAUUGAAUAGAAAAAGUUAGGGUCCUCACCUUGUUUGUGCUUAAAGUGAUUCAGCAAGCUUUGUGCAUCACCUGCUUCCACCAUUUCAUUCUUUUUUCUUUGCAAGUAGUUGUAGACGUCUUUCUUAGUGCACCCAACAUUUUCUGAACCACCCACUUCAUUUGCUAUGUAAAAAAAUGCUUUUGUUGCUCCUAUUCUUGCAACUUUCAUGGAAGUAAAAACUUGUCCACAAGCAUCUGUUACUUUUCGCCCAGAUCUCAAAAAUUGCCUUUCUUCAGGGUUUGCAAGCUCAUGGUUAUGAUCUGAAUUGAUAUGUGAUAUUGUCCAUAUCCCAUCUUUCACAAUAAACGAUAUCAUAGCCUUGCAACCGACUCUUGUUUCCAACUUCCUAUGUUUGGUUGGUUCAAACACAUCUUGGUCUUGUGCAAACCCUUCCUUUGAACAUACAAACUCUCGUAACCGGAUGUUAUUUGAUGCAUCUCUUCUAAUAUGUGACUUACGAACACUGAAACCCUUCCUCAAAGCAUAGGUAUUAUAUAAAUUGUAAGCCUCCUCAUCUGAGUGUACUUGAGUUCCCACUUUGAGUUCUUCAUCGUCUUCAAUUAUUUCCUCCAUUCUUUCACAAGCCAAUUUAACUCUGUAAAACACAAAAAAGUUUAAGCAAAUUUUUGGUCAAUUGCAUAGGACUUUCAAGUAUCAAUGAUCAUUAGUUAAUGAGAAAAUCUAUUAGAUUAGAAAAACCAAUCGUACAAACACCAAAUCACACAGUGAUUGAAUAAUCAAAAUCUAAAGGAUCAGUUUAAGUAUCAGUUUAUAUACAACCACUUUUAAGUAUUGGUUUAUAUACAACGUCUUCAUUACUCAUCAAUUCUUUGUGUCAAGUUCACACAGAGGAUCAUGACAAAUCCAAAACAAUCGAACCCAAAUACUCAUAAGAAAAGCAAAGAAAUACUAACCUGAAUCAAAUUGCUUAUCGAGAUGAUCUUGUAUUGAUUAAAUUGAGCAAUCAUGAGAACGAGCUAACAGGUCGAGAAAGACUGGUUUUGGUGAAUCUGAAAAUUGAUUAUCAGUAAUGAGGAGACCCUAAUCUGAAAAUUGAGUGAGAGGAACAAGAAGUCGUCCACUGUUUGUUCUUCCCCAGAUUAGAAAAACACCUAGAAAUCCUAAUUUAGCUAAAACUCGGCGGGAUAAUGAAAUUUCAACUUUAAACUUGGAGCCUUUUUCGUAGUUUGCUGGCGUGGAAAAAAAUCAAGACGUAGCACUUGUUGGUUGGCUGGUCGCACAUGCCAGCUGGUGCGGCUGUUGCACGGAAGAUUUUCUCUUGUUUGUAACGAUCGCCGAACAAUCGACAACACUAUUAUCUGAACAAGAAUUUAAACCAAAAACAAGAAUAAAUCAAAUCUAAAAACCCGUCAUAUGGGGUAUCUGUAGAAAAAAAAAAAAUUAAUGACAUACUUGUAAUAAAAACAGUUAUGACUUGUAAUCUUAGUCUAUAAAGUUGGACGCACCGACUUGUAAUUGACAUUUGUAGAAUGAUCAUAUUUAAACAAUUACACAUAAGCAUAUCAAACCAAUUCAAAGUGGACAUGAGAGAAAGAGCUUACCUGAGGAACCGGUAAUACAAUUAUUAGGUCGAUUAAAAAGUUUCCAUGGAGAUAAUUUAGAGCGAUUUUUUUUGGUUGGUCUACUAUUUCUCCUGGACCAACCAUUCUAGACCUAGGAACUUCAUAAGCCAGCCUAAACUGCCAUGCAUAAGCAAUAAAAAUUUAGAAAGGCUCAAACAGACAAGAAAAAGAAAAAAACAACAAUUUAUUUAAGAUACCAAUUGAAUAAUACAGAUUUAGAAUGACAUUUUUAAACAGAAUAUGUCAUGCACUUACUUGGAUAAGCAUGUGUAACAGAUAUAUAGUCUGUCACAGUCCGUAAAAACACCAGUAGUAUGGUUUUAUGCCAGUCCAUAAAUAUGCACUUCUGAUCCUGCAUUUUAAGAAUACAGAUACCCCUCUAUUAAAAAAAGAAUAGAACGGGAAACAAAUUUACAUACUAAAGCAAUUUUCGAACGGCUGUUAUUUUUUCUUUUUCUUUUUAAUAAGAAGAAGAAAUUUCUGCUUCAAGAAUAAUGCAGUCUCAAAAUUUAAUGCAAACAUAUUUUAAAGUGAUGACAUCAAGUGAGAGAAAAACAAAGAUAUAGAAAGAGAGAAAGAAAAAAUAGAUUGUUCCGCGCUCGCAGAGGCCGCCGGAAUGGUAGCUUCUAGCAGAGGCAACCGGAAUCAAUAGGAGGAUCGGAUACCGUUGUGGGUUUUCGGGUCAAGGAACAAGGCCGAUUAGUUUGAGUUUUUCUACACCUUGUGAUAUCUCGAUAUUUCUAUUUCAAAUAAGGAAGAUUGAGAGAGAAAAUCGAGGGUUCAAGGAGGAGAGCAGAGAGCAUAUUGGGGAAGAAGAAGAUGAGAUGAUGAGGAAGAUGGAGAUCACGCGCCGUGAAAAGAAACGUUUGUGAUCCCUCACUGGGUCAACUGAAGAACCUUCGGCCGAAUAGCUGUUUCUUCUUCAACACCCUAUUUCAAUCGAAUUUGGUCGGCGCCUUUGCAGAUUUACACUCUAACACAGUGGAUUUGAGUUUUUUUGGCACCAAAUUUUGUUAGCGCGUAUAGUACAUGCGCCGUUUAGGAAAGAAGAAGACGCAUCAGAAGAUACCGAUGCCGAAGCCUCACCCUGUGAAUGGAAGAAUCUCCGACGUGCAAGAGAGAGAAAACAAGAUAAAGAUAAAAUACCAUUUCUCUCUCUCUCGUCCCCACUCCCCCAAGUGUCCAAACCCCAACUCCCCAAGUGUCCAAAUUAAUCCCUAACUCCCCAAGUACCAACCAUAGCCAGGCCGGACCUGAGAUUUCAAGGUCUGAGAUGAGUUUUAAGAAUGGUGUCCUCUAAUGACCGGAAAGCUUCACCUUGAGCAGAGGAGUUUGAGGAGACCAGUAAUGAGGAAUAAAACUGGCAUAAUGGUUUAGAAGUUUGGGAGCAAAACCCAGUUUUUAGAGACGGAGGGGCCCACUAACUUAACAGUGAGGAGAGGAAAAAAGAAGAAGUUAAAAGAUAAACAAGUGGUUAACCCUUCUCUCCUCUUCUAAACCACAAAAAUCCAGUUUUUAUUAUCAUCGACAACCAUCACUGCUCAUCAUCAUCCCCGUUUCAAACUUCUCUCUCUCCCUUCUCUUCUCUUCUAAACCCAACCAUUUCCUCUGUUUUUCAUUUCAAAAAACCAAAACCCAAACAAUUAUAGCUUUAAGCUUUAGUUUCCAUGGCUAGCAGACUUUUCUAAUCCCUCCUGCUCAAGGCAGCUACCGGAUUUUGGUGCCCCCAGAUUUUUGGGGCCUGAGGCAGCCGCCUCGUCGGCCUCACCUCAGGUUCGGGCCCAAGGAAGAAAAUUUCGGUGAUUACGGAAAUUUUGACCCUCCAAAAUAUGGAAAUUUCGACGGAAAUUUCGGGGAAAUAUCGAUUGCAGUAAAAAAAUUGAGAAAAUUGACGGAAAUUUGAAGAAAAACAAGGAAAUUUUAAACCAAACUUUAAGAGAUGUUUGUUUUCUAUAUUAUGUACUAUAUUUGAAAUGAAAACCUUGAAUAAACAUCGAUCUAUAAGGAGUUGUAGUAAGUUAAGGUGAAAAAGUUAGUGCUGAACCGUUAAUAAUUCUUAGAAGUUUACUUUAAACAUUUUUUUUUUAUGGCUGGAAACCCAAAGGAGGCUAGGUCAUCACGCUUUAUAUACAUAUGAUAUAUUUCACAUGGAAUUACAUGAGUACUUUAAAACCACGUAGAAGACCUAUGAUGUACAAAAUUUUCAUUAUCUUUAUCGUCUCUCUGUGUAGAGCCUUCAGUAUAUUGUGAAGAAUAGUCAUUAAAUAAUACCUCACCUUUAUAGAUAUAUUAAAAAUGAAUUAAGAAGUGUAGGUAAAAAAUCUUUUUUAUGGAAGUGUAGGUAAAAAAAUUAGUUGGAGAUUAGACAUUUACCUAAUUUUUUACUUUUCAAAUUAAAAAAACCAAUAUAUAUUAUAAAGAUACUAUAAUAAACAAGUUAAAUGGUUAGUAGGGUUGGUUAAGUUGUUAAUCUUGUACCAACCCGACCCAGGCUCGACUCACCUUCGCAGCAAAAUUCAAAGUCAAACAUUUCGGCAGGAAAGUAAGUUUUGCAGUGUUCAAAGUCAGGGGAAACAAUCAUUCAAAUUUGGGCGGGAAAGUGGGAAACCAUUUCAGCUUCGACUUUUCGGUGGGAUUUCAAAGUUUCGGCGAUAUUUUCGAAAUAUCGCGAUAUAUCGGAAAAUAUCGAUUAUUUCGGACGAAAAAUUCUGAGAAUGAAAAUAUAUAUCACCGUGUGAUAAAAACGAAAUUUUCGGCGAUAUUUCGACGAAAAUUUCGAUUUUUUCUUCCUUGUUCGGGCCUGACCAUAGCACAAUCGUUGUCUGCUAUUGUUGGGUCGCCGAUAUAGUUUUCUUAUUGGAAACUAUGCACUUUAUGUUAAUGCCUAGAGAACCCUAUUCCUCCAAAAAAGAAGAAGCCGGUGUCUAACAAGAAGCUGAAGAAAGAGAGGCUGAAGCAAGGCGUCUCUGCUCCAGCAGGCGAGUAAAUAUGGAAGAAAGACCGCAACUCUGCAUGCAUGUUGAGCUCACAUAUGUUGAGAGUUUGUUCUUUCAUUUCCCUUAAUACUAGAUGGAAUUGGACUUAGUAAUUGGAACCCUGUAUUGAUCUAGCAACCAGGGAGUGAGAAUGUUGUUCCUAAGACAGUUUUUAUCUUCAAAUUUUCUUUCUUAAACAAGUAAUAAUCAGACCUCAGAACUUAGAAUGAGUUACUUUGCCAAAUAAAAUAAAAAAUAAAAAAACAUAACAGAAAGAAAGGGAAGAAAAAGAAAAAGAAUAAAAAGAAAUAUUCUGAACCAUCAAUACUUUGUCUCUGUUCCUCAUGUGCUAGAAUAAACGAAAACAUCUAACUGUUUGUGAAAGAAAAAGAAAAAAAAACAUGUAAACUAAGACUAAUGCAAAAAGAAGGAAAAUAUACCUCAUGUGAAUAUAGCAGAAAGAAAUGUAGUGGAUCUACAAAAACCGCGACCAUGCAAGAUACUACAAAAAACUUGUUUUAUCUUCAAACAACUUUGUUAUCAGGUUCACAAUCCCGAUAACAUAGGGAUGCAAAAAAAAACAUGUUCCUUUAAACAAACUCAACAAAUUCUUUUUGUAUGACAUAUUUGUCUAUCGCUAAAUAUGAAAUGAGUGAAAUGUCGAUGAGGAUGAUUGUGAAGUUGUUUGGAUUUAAAUGUAUAAUGAGGUACGGAUCGGAGAGAUGGGAGAAUGGGAAGUUCGAUAUAUGUAUUAGAUGAGUGAACUCAAUGAGGAUGAAGUUGUGAGAUUUAUGAUAUGGGAAGAUCGAUGCCUUAUAUAAAGAAGAGGACUAGAGGAGUGAUGUUGAUAUCACUGGAAUCAAUAUGUUUGGCCAUGUUUUUAAGAAAUGAUUGUUUUUAGUUAGGGACAGAAAAUUUUCAUGCCUAGUUGUGCAUGUAUUACCUAGAGACACAUUAUAUAUAUGAUGGUGUGCACGGUAAAAAGGCAUAUGAUAACGACUUCAAGGAAAGCAUUCAAAUUUUCUCAAAACUAAAGUAACACUUUAUUCUCCCAUAUUUCUAUCUUCAACUCUCUUUAAUCUUUCAUUCAAUUGGAAGAUUAACAUAAGAGAUGAACCAGUCUUGGUGGACCCAUAAUCACAUCCAAGCUUCACCGAAAUCAAAUCCUCUGUCUUCCUAAGCGAGGAUGGAUCAAGAACAUUAUAUGUAAGGGAUAAUUCAAAUUCAGCACUUUCUGGAAAGCAAUCUGAGAAAUCCCCAUGGGGCUUUUGUUGGGCUUUAUCCUAUUGUCUUUCUUCAAUCUUCAUCUAUUGUUCGUCUUUGUCUUAUACCCAUCUUCUUCCGUUCUCUGAUUCUGUGCAACUUUGAUCUUUAUCUUUGUCUUAAUCUCAUCCUGUAAUAAGUUUUUGACCCACUUUCCCUUUCGAUUUCUUUUUCUCUAUAAAUAUCUCUCUUGAGUCUCAUACACCCAAUCCCAAUUACAGUCAUUCAAUCUCGUCCUUCAUCGGCUCAUGUACAAACAAUGUUUUUUUUAGGAGCCACUCUACCCAGAACCAUCGGUGGUAUACUUUGGAAAAUAAAGUAUGUAAAUCAAUCUGCCACUUGCCCAUUGCAUCACCAAUAAUCGACACACCCAUUGAAAUCGAUUGAACCAGAUUGAAAUACUGAGAUGCAAGAGUGAAUUGAUUUUUCAGAGAAAAGAAAAUAUCAGAUCUAGAAGAAGAAGAAGAUUCGAAUGAAGUUAACAGAGCAAUUGACGUUAGUUCCUGCCAUUUGCUUGCUUGGAAAAAAAAUACAAACGUGUCAACACGAGUGGAUGGUCGUAUGAAUGACGUGGUGCGAGUGCCGCACCUAAGAGUAAGUCCACCCCAAACUCCAAAACUGUGACCCAGACCUUUAGCCAUCUCAAAUAAAGACUCAGACAAAAAAAAACCAAAUCCACCUAUAGAAAAAAAUGAUAACCCAAUCUUUAUUAGAUCAAGACCUGAGUUAGACUCAUAACCAGGCAGAAAAAUGAAGGCCCGGGCCUUCCCUCUCCAGCUCAGCCCACUUGCAUGGGUUUGCAUGACGUCAGCCAUGUUAGAAGACUUGGAGAGAUGAAAGAAGACGCGUCUUGAUGUGGGUGAAGAACACAGACCAAUUGUUGAUGAAAGAGGACGCGCGGGGAACUCAUUUUGUCGCCAUGCGGGGUUAGUGGAUGGGCCACAUGCACGUUCCAAACCUUCACACACCCAUUUAUGUGAAUCUGAUGGUAUAUAUUUAACAACCAAAUAUUUUUAUUACAGAAAUAAAUAGGAAUUAUAAGUUAUAGUUUUAUUUUUUUGGAAUUUUAAUUUCUUCAACAUCCCACAAAAAAAAAAUUGUGCAUUUUAGAUCCAAUUUUUCAUAUCCCUAGCAUUGCUAUUUAUUUAUAAAAUUUUCAUAAAUUUGUCAUAUUAAAUAAUUCCGUGGAAUAAAUAUUUUUAAUAAAUAUUAAACAGUCACUGUCACGUGGUGACCCAAAAACUAAAAUCAUGGGUGGAAACUACAGCUCAAAAUCACUGCCACGUGGCGACCUAGGUCUCGCCUAAGACCCAGACCUUCCCAACGAAGACCUAGAAGGUGGACUUGUUCUAAGAUGACACGGUGUGAGUGCCCCACGCAAGAAUUGCUCCCUGGACCGUGACCACGUGUUUUGGAUAGGGUAAUGCACUACAAAAAAUAUGCGUAAAAGCGACAGUUUUUUCCCCACAUUUUCAGUUUUCGUGGGAGUAUAGUACUGAAUAGUGUCAACGUUUGAAAUCUUUCGAACUCUCCCACGCAAGUCGCAACUUCGAAUUCGUGGAGUAUAAAACAAUAAAAAAUUGUUCUGUAUGGGUAUUUAAUUCUGACACUCUAUUUUUUUUUCCAGUUUAUAAUUCUAAAUUCAGUAAACACCACGCUUUUAACAAUUAGUGGGAAGUAAAUAAUAAAAUAUUAUGAUAGUGUGGAAUUAUGAUGUUGAAACGAUGUAAUUAUCAUGACAUUUUAGUUUCUUACCCGUUUUUAGUAAUUAAUUCAUUUGAAUGUCCCACAAAUAUGCACAAAACGUGAGAACUUAUCUGUACAAGUACAACUGUUGNNNNNNNNNNNNNNNNNNNNNNNNNNNNNNNNNNNNNNNNNNNNNNNNNNNNNNNNNNNNNNNNNNNNNNNNNNNNNNNNNNNNNNNNNNNNNNNNNNNNNNNNNNNNNNNNNNNNNNNNNNNNNNNNNNNNNNNNNNNNNNNNNNNNNNNNNNNNNNNNNNNNNNNNNNNNNNNNNNNNNNNNNNNNNNNNNNNNNNNNNNNNNNNNNNNNNNNNNNNNNNNNNNNNNNNNNNNNNNNNNNNNNNNNNNNNNNNNNNNNNNNNNNNNNNNNNNNNNNNNNNNNNNNNNNNNNNNNNNNNNAUCUAUAAACAAGAUAAACAAGAAAUGGAGUAAAAAUUUCAACAAAGAUUAAUUCCUGGUACACUUUCAUCUUUCUUAACAUCUUAUGGCAUUGAUAUUGACUGGAAUAGCUCACAAAUAAUUUGCAGAUUGCAACUCUAGUUAAAUCCAAUUUGUCAAUACUGCACUUUAAUGCAUCAGGACUCGAGCCUAGUUGUUAUAUAUACUUCUAUAGUAAAGCUAGUAUUAGUAUAUGUGAACAAAGUUCAAAUCUGUGCGUAAGAAUGAUCCUUUCUAAGUUUCUCAUCUGUAUUAUUUGAAUGUCUGCAGUUUGCGAUACCAUUUCCACCCUGUGACAGGUGGAUGCUGAAGUUUUUAGUAAUCCAGCAAUGAUUUUGAAGAUGAAAUUGACCAAUCUUCCAUGGAGACUAUAAAUCAUUCAGAAAGGGUCCCUAAAAUGUAAAAUUGUUUAGAAUUACAUAUGAAAGCUUGUAGUGCCUUUGAUUCCAUGACUGAAAUUUACAGGGUUAGCAUUUCUGGCUUACUAAAGCUUGUACUGGCUCCCACCAUAUAUGCCAAGAUGCUUAGAAGAUUUCUGCCAAUCUCUUUAUUUUGGCGUAUGUAAGGAUCAAAAACUGACAUGAUUGCAACCUAAGAGCUAUAAAAUUUGAUCAAAAUUUUCUCCAAUUCAGUCAUAUAUCAUGCUAGUCAAGUUCAUCAUGUUGUUUGGAAACAAUGUGACUUAUCAUGCGAAUUUCACGUCACUUAUCACACAGAAACGCUCUUACCAACCUCUCCGUAACCGAGUUUGGUUGAUUCUUUCAUACGUUAAACUCUCACACAGAUGAGACGUUACACAUAAAAAUUUGAAAACGUUUGAUUCCUGUUGAUACGGCUCCCCAUAAGGAAGAUUAAGGGUAAAAAAGGUUGACCGUUUUUAUCGGUACCCAAAAGUUACUCGAAAUAUGUGAUUUUUCAACCAUAGCCGUAUUUCACUAUUCCGAUCACAUCUUAUUUACGAGAUUUUUGCUUCCUUUGUACAGUUGGUUUACAAAAUUGUACACUUGCAUAUAACCUACUAAACAAGUUAUAUCACAUUAGUAGACACGUUGUGAUUUCGAUGACUAAAAUUCUCAAAAUGAAAAUUCCACAGUCUGAUAUGAUCAUUAUAGUAAACCAUGUCUAUGGUAUAAAAUUCAACUCUAUUCGGUAGCGUUCGGGGCUCGAUCGAAGCGGUCAACCAUAAUAUAUCGUCACUUAUCACACGGAAACGCUCUUACCUACCUCUCCACGACCUAAUUUGGUCAAUUCUUCCACACGUUAAACUCUCACAUAGAUGAAACGUAACCACACAUAAAAAUUUGGAGACGUUUAACUCUCGUUGAUAGGGCUCCCUAUAGGGAAGAUUAAGCGUAAAAAAGGUUAACUGCUUUUAUCGGCACCCAAACGUUAACCGAAAUAUGUGAUUUUUCAACCAUAGUAGCUAAACACUAUUUUGAUCACAUCUUAUUUCACGAGAAUUUUGAAAAUUUUACUUCCUUUAUGUAGUUGGUUUAAAAAGUUGUACACUUGCAUAUAACCUAUUAAAUAAGUUAUACUAUAUUAGUAGACACGUUGUGAUUCCGAUAACUUAAAAUCACAAAAUGAAAAUUCCACCGUCUGAUAUGAUCAUUAUAGUAAAUCAUGUCUAUGAUAUAAAAUUCAACUUGAUUCGGCAACGUUCGUGGCUCGAUCGAAGCGGUCAACCCUAAUAUAUCGUCACUUAUCACACGGAAACGCUCUUACCUACCUCUUUGUGACCUAGUUUGGUUGAUUCUUUCACACAUUAAACUCUCACAUAGAUGAGACGUAACCACAUAUGUAAAAAUUUGGAGACGUUUACCUCCCGAAAAUAGGGCUCCUUAUAGGGAAGAUUAAACGUAAAAAAUGUUACUGUUUUUAUCGGCACCCAAACGUUACCCGAAAUACGUGAUUUUUCAACCAUAGCUAUAUUUCACUAUUUUGAUCACAUCUUAUUUCACGAGAUUUUUGAAAAUUUUGCUUCUUUUGUGUAGUUGGUUUACAAAGUUGUACACUUGUAUAUAACCUAUUAAAUAAGUUAUACUAUAUUAGUAGACACGUUGUAAUUCCAAUGACUAAAAAUCAUAAAAUGAAAAUUCCACCGUCUGAUAUGAUCAUUAUAGUAAAACAUGUUUAUGAUAUAAAAUUCAACUUGAUUCAGCAACGUUCGGGGCUCGAUCGAAGCAGUCAACCCUAUUAUAUCGUCACUUAUCACACGAAAACACUCUUACCUACCUCUUUGUGACCUAGUUUGGUCGAUUACUCCACACGUUAAACUCUCACAUAGAUGAGACGUAACCACACAUAAAAAUUUGGAGACGUUUACCUCCCGAAGAUAGGGCUCCCAUAGGGAAGCAUAAACGUAAAAAGAGUUGACCGCUUAUAUUGGACUCGGACUUUACCCGAAAUACGUGAUUUUUCAACCAUUGCCGUAUUUGACCAUUCCGAUCACAUCCUAUUUCACGUGAUUUUUGAAAAUUUUGCUUGCACUGUAGAGUUGGUUUAUAAAGUUGUACACUUGUAUAUAACCUACCAAACAAGUUAUACCACAUUAGUAGGCACGUUGUAAUUCCGAUGACUAAAAAUUACAAAAUGAAAAUUCCACCGUCUGAUAUGAUCAUUAUAGUAAAACAUGUCUAUGAUAUAAAAUUCAACUCGAUUCGCAAUGUUCAGGGCUCGAUCGAAGCGGUCAAUAUCUUAUGACACUACUAGCAGCCUGAUCUUUAUUAGCAUUUUUCAUGGCCACGUUUUUCAUGGCCGAGCUCAUCUCACCCCUGUACUGUUCGUAAAGUUUCCUCCAGUUGUUCAAGCAGUGUUUGGGGACUUGAUUAAUGUCAAAAAUAGGAAGUUUCUUGAUUUCUGAACAAGGAUACAGAGGAAAAUCAGUAUGUUAAAAGUUGAAAUAAAUCAUUUUUUAUCUAAAGUUAUAAUUUGAUGGAAAUUUCAUAACUUUGAAAUACUAAAAGGAUUUGACAUGGGAACAUCACAGAAAGCUAUCAUAACCUUUGACAGAAAUUGGUUCAUGAUCAACAUUAAACAUUAUCUACCAUCAAAUUUUAAAAGAUUUUGGUUGAUUUAUAACAAUCCAUAGAUUCUGCUAAUUCUAUGGAUUGUUUUAAUUCCAUAUGGAGUUUAACAAAUUUUAAUAGAUUGAUUUAUUAGUAUUCUUUUAGACUUUUAUAAGUCCACAGAUUGUUGUAACGGCAAUAAAUAAAAAAAAGUUUCUUAAAACACAAACAAUACAGUAAAAACGAUGAUGACUUGAAACAUAAUGCUCUGAUACAAUAGUAUAUAGGUUACUAGUAUCACAUCAUACAGAGAACUGUAUCAAAUCCAAUCUCUCUGUUUGUGAUCAACUCCCCUAUAAUUGAAUAUUCAAGGAACAAUUUUCCCAACAUAAGCACUCAGAAAAAUAGAUUUUCAUCACCAUCUAAAAGCUAUCUAGCAUUAUUAACCAGAUGCAGACCCAUAAUUCUUCCCACACACAAUUAGCUGCAACUCGUCACAACCAGAAAUUAAAGAAUACCAACACCAGCAAUGGCAUGGAGGACGUUUGCAUCAACACCCUUGAACAAGGACUUAGCACCCACAUUCUUCAAGAUCUGAGUGAAGGCUUCAAAACUCUUGUACUCGACAGCUUCACCAGAGGUCAUUAUCUACGAACAGUGUCAAUUGGGUAGGAAGAUAGACCAGCACCAUUUCUGAUGACCUAGGAGAAGUACUACAAGUCAAAAACAAAAGGAUGAUUAUCAAAAACAAAAUGAUGUCAGCUGGAAUACCUACAAGCCAUAAGAAUCUAGUCGUGGACAAAUAAAGUAAAUAUAAAUACAGCUUCCGCCAACACACUGAAGUUGCAUAUCCUUGGAAUCAAACCACCAAUAUAGGAUAAAUAGAAUUUGCAAGCACAUAAAAGUACAAAGAAUACCAAUCAAAUUACUACAGGCCUUAUGAUAUAAGUGUCACUACAACGCUUAAUAAGAGUUCAAAAAUGAAUGAUCCACUGAUCCAUGAGUGACCACACUAACACUUGAGUAAUACAGGACCUCAAUACUUUCCUACUAAAAUAACCAUUUUAAACAGUAGUAUAAGGGUAUUCAGAAUUUCAGAUAUGAUACAUGAGUAGCAUAUAUUAAGAUCGCAAAUUGAAGAAAACAUAUAUAUCUCUCGUAGUUAGAAGAGAUGGGACAACAGUUGGAUAAUGACAUAACUAAUCUUUGGUUUUCAAAGUUUAUCUGCCCAUCCAUUCAAAACAAACGAAUCAUUAUUAGCCGCUAAACAAAUCACAGAGUCAUUCCUUUUACCCUCAAAGUUAUCAAUGUUGUUCUUGUAACUAGGCACGUGUUGCUACAAACAAUUCCCCUUAUACACACCCUGACCUACAGACAUAUAUACCAAUAUCCAACACUCAAACAAUUCCCCUUAUACACCCUGACCUACAGGUUUGUCUUUCUCAAGUUCAGACUAUCUUAGCAUACUGGAAAUCAUAUGCCAUCAUUCUGAGAGAAAUUUGUACAGCCUCCUCAAUCUCAAGCUAACUAGCUCUUAUAAUCAAUGCACUCAGUUAUGCGCCCUACGUACUUCUCUCUCUUUUUCCUCUACAAAACUUGAUGCUUUGGCCGUCAACCAUGAAACUGUUUCCAGGAAAGAUAAUGUACUGCAAUCAUCUACUUGUUCGUGCAAACCAUUGAGUUCAGACUUCAGAUACACCAUGUGUAAUGUGGAUUUUUGUGAUAGAGAUAUUUCCCUAAAUUAUUUAUUCUAUUAGUCAAAACCUUGUUAAAAACAUAAACUAGCAGCUUUUAAUGUCUUCCUGUAGACAUCAACCUUAGGUUUCAAAUUCUAGCUUGAUUCGAUUAGUUACACAAUCAACCUAAGCAAGUGUUCGACAUAAUGAUUCUGAAACAAAUGCGACGUACAAUACCAGCACGAACCCCAACAAGAAAUAUGAGAUUAAGAUUCAAAUACGAACAGAAAAGAGAAACAAAGAGCAUGAUUGAUACCUUUCGAGUGAAAUAUGGAUCAUUGGCGAGAACGAUGGUCUCGAAACUGAGUCGUUUGAAUCGUUCGCAGCGGUUGAUUCCUUCGUUUUCAACGGAGGCACCGCCGCCGCUGUAGAUCUUUGACUCGGAAGAACAUCACUCAGAGCCUCAUCGAGCUUUCGACUUGAAGAACAACCUACCGAGGAGAGAACCCAGUGAGCUCUCCUCAGACUCCAUCAAAAUCUCGUGGGAGAGGCCAGAUUUCUUAAUGGAAUUUGUAUUUAUACCUAGCCCUCUAAAAUCCAUCAAAAUCUAACAACUGAUGGAAUCCUUGAGAAUCUAUAGAGUUUUGAAUACCCUCGUAUUUUGAUGGAUAUUUUAAAAUCUGAAUCGAAUACAUCAAGAUUUAUAAGGAGUUUUUAAAAUUUGAUUGAAUACCCAUAGAUUUUCAGAAUCCAAAAAAAUCCAACAGACUCCCAAUUGAAUACACCCCCCUAUGUAGUUCAAGUCUCACCUUGGAACCUCUCACAGAAUUGUCUAUAAGCAUCAGAAGGAGCAGACAGGAUUUCAUCGGGAGAAGGGGAGGAACAAAGUGAUUGUCCAUUGCACAAUGUCGCCGGCAAUGGAUUGGAAGUCUCACCUGCACCACACAAACACACAAAACUCACUAAUUUGCUUAAAUUUCAUCAUAAAUUUCGGCUAAUCACUAAAAGCAUCAACUAGAUUAUAAGUCUAACCCUGAGACUGAAAACUUAAAUAAAAUGGUGCAUCAGUAACUACGACCUUUACCAUCAGACUUGCUUUGACAAGAAUAAGUGUGUGCCACUUUCACUGGAGAAUAAGGUGAUUGUGUAUUGUUGUUGUUUCUGGGUUGCUCUAGAACAGUAAAUGCCUCACCUGCACCAAAAGCUUUAUUAUAGUCAUAUAACAGCAUUGACCACCAACAAAAUGAAUCAACUUGAGAGAGUGAAAGUAGUGACAAACCUUGAAACCCAUCAUCAAGUUGGCCAGGACCAGACAGUCUUUGAGAAGAAGUGCGUGCAAGUUUCAUCGGAGAACCCGAUGAAUAAGGUGAUUGACCUCUAACAGGUGGCAGGUGAUUAAAUGCCUCACCUGCACCGAAAAUCUAGUCAUAUAACAGUGAUGACAACAAGUCCAGUAGUCCACAACCAAAUGAAUCAACUUGAGAAAGCAAAAUAUGACAAACCUUGUGACUUCUCAUGAACUUGUGCAUGAGUAGACAAUCUUUGAUAAGAACAACUCCCUGUUGCUUUCGAUGGAGAACCAUAGCAGUAAGGUAACCUGUCACUAACUGCCUCACCUGCACCAAAAUCCUUAACACUAUCACACACAAAACACUCAUAUGACCACAAUGCAAUGCAUCAAAAUAGAGAACGCAAGAAGCACAACAAACCUCGAGACCUCUCAUCAACUUGUACAUGAGCAAUAAAGCUUCCAUCACAGCUUCCGGGUUGCUCCACAACACCAUACACCUCACCUGCACCAAAACCCACAGAUCCAGUUUCCCUCACUAUAUCAAACCCACAGUAAAGAACACUGGAGACCAUCAUAUAUACCCCAACCCUGAACAUGAAGUGAUGAAAACUAUACCGAACCGGGAUCGAUCCAUGAACAUAAAUCAAUCAGAACUAACAAACCCUAAACAUUGGUAAGGCUGACGAGAUUAAUAAAUGGUAAACGGCGUGUUGUGUAAGCUUCGGCAAUGUAGACUGUAGAGUGGAGUUAAUUGAUUGAUAGGUUCAUAACUCUGAAGCAUGCAACGCCAUUUGUUUUUGGUCUUUUCCUAUCAAAAAUCCUACACUUCUAGUCCAAUUAUUCUUUAAUCCUGCACAUAAUCUGAUGCUAAUUUACCAAAACUAAAGAUCCUGAGCUCAAAUCAAGAACAAAAUCAACACUAGAACUCGACUCGACCCGAGAAUCGAAAUGGUACCUUGCUGAUUGGUCCCUGAAGGAGAGAGUGACGCUCUCCGAAGCUUCUCCGCUGGGCUUGUUCACCUAGAUCCACGAGACUUCAUCGGAAACCUCGGCAUCCGGAUCUGCGGCGCCGCCGAUCUUCGUGACCAGCCGGACCUUUCGCGAUGUGCUGGAGCGGCGUUUAGGGGUUUUGGUGAGGUCGGGGUUGCCGGAAGCCAUGUGAAAAAUUAGGUCUGGGAGAAAUUAGGGUUUCAAAUUCGAGAUCUGAAAGCUUCGAAAUUGAGAGAGAUGAGAGCAAAGGCCAGUUGGGAAUUGAAAUUGGGGGAAAUUGAAAUUUAGAGAGAACUAAAGCGGGGAGUGGGCGGAAGCAAAGAUGAAUAGGAUAGUCACCCACGCACGACGCGCCUCGCUAGGCGUGCUUACAAUUGACAGUUAAAACGAGUUAAUUACCUUUUCAUUUCCGUCAGAAAACAAACGCGGAGCACAGACGCUCCGGAGCAUUCCAGACGUCUCCUCUCCUUCUAUCUUCUCCUCCCUUCUUUCUUUGUCUGUAACUCAUCAAAGCUUCAUUGUUCAUUCUUCCUUCAUAAACGUUUUUAGCUGAAAAACGUAUCUGUGGUGAACUCGAAAACGAAUCUCUCUUAGCCGGUGUACAGAAAUAAAGAAGUCUUUCACACUACCAGAAAUGUGGGCAACAAACACCAUCAUAAUGAUGUGCAUUGAACCAAUGGAAACUAAUCAGUGGUGUGGAUUCAUGAUAGCCACGGCCCUAGCCACUAUUAUGAGAUUAGUUUGCAUUGCUGGCGUGGCUUUUCCUAACAAUACACUAUCAUCUUUUUGGUGACUACAUAUAUACUCACUAAUUCAAUCUUUGGUGACUUCAUUGAAUUAAUAAAUAAAAAAAUAUUCAGCUAUAAAACUCUAUGGGUCCUACAUAUUCAGCAAAAGCAUCUUCAAAACCAGCUUCUUUAAAUUCAAAACCGCGAUCUCUAUCUCGUCUCUAGUAUCUCCUGCAAAGCAACAACAUGGGCAAAGAUUACUUGGCUAUAAAUCACCCCUCAUAAUUUUAUUUCCUUCAUAUAACAGAUGAUAUGUAUCUUGUGGAAAUAAAAUCAAUGUAUCCAGUGGAAAUAAAAUUAACUUGAAGCUCAUAAACUAUCAACAUGUUCAUAACCCGUGACUUUGUAAAAAUAUAAACUUAAAGCUCAUAAACUAUCAACAUGUUCAUAACCCCUGACUUCAUACCUAUAUCAACUUGAUGAACAAGUUCAUAUAAAAGCUCCCUACAUGUUAUGUAUCACAUACCUUAGUUCUUAAUACAAGAUAAUCCUCUCCUCUCUCUUUUUCCAUCACUAAAAUGCAAGUAUAGUGUACAAAGUCCACAUCUUUUCCUGCAAGCAGAAAAACACACUUUGGGUAAGUUGGCCAGAAAACAUACAAUAAAUUUCUUUUGGGUAAGAACCUUAGAAGAAACAAUUAUCAUUCACAUUUAUUAUAGUAAAACCUGGUUCAAGUUCAUAAAUUAAGCAUCUAUCGGCAUAGUUGACACAUAGAAGGUAAAAUCUGAAGCUAGAAAUGAGGUUAUAGUGAACAAUAAUGUAUUAUGAAUUAAGUUCCCAAGGAAUGGUAGUAUCAUAUAUAGUAAUGGUAGUAUCAGCCCACUUUUAUGGAUGAUGCAUAUUCAAUUACUGAUUCACAUUUACAAAAGAAUAUAAGCGUACCUUAUUGAGUGAACGACAUUUUUUUGUCUCCUCAUUCAUACGGUCUUGCAGCUUUCUGUUUCAGAAUGAACACCCUACAAAAAAAACUGCAUAUGACCAGUCAGUUAAGAAUCUUAAGAAGUUCAAAUAGAUUGAUAUGAAUCAAGGACAAUUGUAUACAAAUUAAGAACUGAUAAGGAGGGAAGAUAAAUAUGUAGGUGAAGUUUACCUCCUUCAACACCAGGGCAUCUAACUAUUCUUUUGUCAUGGUAAGACUUGACUAUAGGAGGCGCUUCCUAUAACACAGACAACAUACUAGCCUCAAUACACAAUAAUGGAAGCCCUAAACAUUAUUUGUACAUGUUCUAAACCAUGUAAACAUGCUUCAACUUUACCAGUUGAAAUUGACACAUAAGAGGUGCACAAUACGCAUAUUUUUUUGUCUAUUCAUUCGAUAGAAAGCAAUUAACCAUGUAACCACAAAAUUCAUAUGGUAAGAUCGAGGAGUCUGACAACUAUUAUCUCUUUUUUCAUUCAUUCACUCGAAGAUCAAAAUAUAAAUAAAAAACACCUUCCCCUCGAUAGUUAUUAGAAAUCUGCAAUUAGGAAUCAAAAGACUCUUGUUUAAGGUCUAAAAGUAUGAAUGUAAAAGCCCACUUCUACGACAACAAAUGCCAAAGUCAUCUCAUAUAAUUUAUGAAUAAUGAAGCAAGAACAUGAAACAAAAAAAUUAAAUCUUCAGAGUACCUUAGUACCAAAAGGAUUAAUUGGAUUAUUAAUCUCAAGAAUUUCCUCCCCUAAAAAUUAAGUCUUCGGAGUACCUUAGUACCAAAAGCAGAUAUAAACUAACAAUAAUAUGAAGUUUGACUAUCAUAUUCAUCUCAUCACCCAAAAACAGUGAUGUAAGCUACUUAAUAUAACAGACCAUAAAAGCUGGAAGAAGCUAGUUAUGCAGUAAUUCUCUAUUUGGUGUAAAGAAUAUAAAACUCCAAAGAAACUGCAUUUGAUUGAAGAGUUCAUAAAAUUGAUUUCCCAUCAAGAAUAUACAGUCACAUUUAAGAUUGAUACAAAAGACAUAUCUACAAGUUAAAUGUGCAGACAUACUGACAAUUAAACAUUAGUGUCUACAUGAACUCCUUUUUUUCUUAUUGAUACAUGAACUCCUUUUAUACCACAUCAAACUAAUAAUAAUCAAGUUAUUAGUAGAGUCCUUACUUAAACCUCAUGAACAUUACAAAGUAUUGAAAGCGAAUAAACAUCUCAGAGAACAGAACUCACCAGGUAAACAACUUCUAUUAAAUAAUUCUCGACAUUGUCAUUUCUGAAACAACAGUAUCAAGAAUAAGCACCCAAAUUAACUAUUAUAUAGUCAGCAGUUAUAAAAUUUCAUCAAAAAAGAAUUUUCAUCAGUUAAAUUAUAUCACCUUCCACAGUUCCACCUUUCAUUAUCCUAAAGAUCAUGAAAAUGUCCAUUCCUUUUCUGUUCUUUUGACCAGUGUGAUAAGCUUCAUUCCAACCCUAAAAAAUUAACCCCAAAGUUCAAGUUUUGCGGUGGAGAAAGAAUGCAUGCAAGAGCCUCUAAAACCAAAAUAAAGAAUUAUGAUGCACAAGAAAAGAAAAGCACAACAUACCAAAGCAAUUAAAUAUAACAACUUCAUUACAAAUGUAAAAACGAAGCAGAUAGGGAGAUACACUGACUUGUUCCUCUUUCCAUUCAUCGGGUCGGAGCACCAGUUAAUCUUUCACAGCCCAUGGUGAUCUGCAAAAUUUUCAAUCGAUCAAUCUUCAUACUAUGCUGAAAGAUGAUAUCGGAAACCAAUCAAUGAAGCGAGAUUGGGAUUUAAGAUUUUCAUUACUUGCAGCGCCGACGAAGACACGGAGUUGGAUUAGAUCGGCGUAUGGCCGAAACAGACAGAGUAAUUUAGAGGCUUGUCGAGCUGCGGUAGCUGAGAGAGAGAGAGAGAGAGAGAGAGAGAGAGAGAGAGAGAGAGAGAGAGAGAGAGNNNNNNNNNNNNNNNNNNNNGGAGAGGAACUUCGUUAUGCACCAUAAGAAAAAAGAGAUAAACUCAUAAAAGUAUAAUUUUAUAACUUUAAACAAUAUUGGUGACGGUCAAACAGUUGUGGUUUUUGCUAAUAGUGACACCGUUAUAAGGAUUGGGGAGAAAUCCUAUGGGUUAUGUCACCAUUAGACUAAUAGUGCAUAGAAAAUAGUAUCUGAUGCCCACAUUUGUGGUAGUGUCAUCUGCAGUCAUAGUCUCAAGAAUGACAAAUCGUCAUCAUCUGAAGUAUUGAGGCAUGUCAGAGAUUUCCAAUCUUCCUUCAAAAGGUUAGAUUUUUCCUUCCAUGACCCAUGUAAUAUCAGGAUUUAAGUGGGUAUAACAUGACUGAGAAAUUUGAAAAUAGGAAUUUAUUGGUUAUGAUUUCUUCAUGAUUUUCUGCUAACAUAAAUUCUCAAUUUUUUUUUCAUAUAUUAUUUCUUAGGAAAUUGAAUUCUGGUGAAGUUAAUCAAUGUGUUUGCAUAUAGGCGUCAACAGAUCGAGCUUGGCUGAGUAGUUGCCUCCUCCACAUGUAUAUGUGUUGGCUUUAAACUCAGUCUUCUACUAUAUGUGAUGUUUUGUUUCGUUAAGUGUUUAUUUUGUGAUCUUGUUUCGUCAAGUGCUGAUGUUUCUUAAUAUCUUUUAUUAAACAGCGACAAGCGUGGCUCGUGGAUCACAUUGUACCGAUACUGUCCCAACUUAACCACCUUUAAGGUGUUGGGUUUUAAUCACAAAAGGCCUCGGUACAAUUGGAUAAGAUCCAUCCACAUAUAAGUUAUAUUUUAUUUGUCACUUUUCUGAUGUGGGAUUUAUUCCUCUCUAAUACUUCUAAUACGCCCCCUCACGUGCAACCUGACUUAAGGUCCGCACGUGGAAUGAAUCGGGACGGAACGAACCAAGGGACACUUAGUGACAAUCCAAUCGGAAUAUUCCGAUGGUGAGACAAGAAGCCGGAACCGGGCGAGAAAAUAGAAUCCCGGACCGGACGAGAGAAUGAACCCAAAUCGGGCCCAUGAGAAUUGGAGAAGUAAUUGGAGAGGGACCCGCUCUGAUACCAUGUUAAACAGCGACAAGCGUGGCCUAUGGAUCACAUUGUACCGAUACUGUCCCAACUUAACCACCUUUAAGGUGUUGGGUUUUAAUCACAAAAGGCCUCGGUACAAUUGGAUAAGAUCCAUCCACAUAUAAGUUAUAUUUUAUUUGUCACUUUUCUGAUGUGGGAUCUAUUCUUCUCUAAUACUUCUAAUAUUUUUGUCUACUUUUCAGGUAUGUGUUCUUGCAAAAUUUAUUAGCCUUAGCUGAAGUUGUUGUUGAGCUUGACUUACAGAAUGAGGUUGGGGAAAUACAAAGAUUAGCCUUUUCGACUUUGCAAAGGAUGGAUCAGGCCAUCAGGGGACGAGCAUCAUUAGUUAGUUUCAACUUUCAACAAUAGUUUUUUAGAUUAGCUCCAUGUAAAUAGAUUAGCUCCAUUUCCCUCCUGGCCUCCUGGGAAAUUUUGAUUAGUUGUGCUUUGUUGUGGAUUUCCUGCAAAUCAGUUAAUGAAUAUAAUCAUUUAGAGAAACUCCGUAUUUCUAUGAAUAAUUGGACGUAUUUCUAUAAAUAAUCGGGUAUUUCUCUAAAUAAAUACAAACCAAUUUGAAUAAGAGCCGUCAGAUAUAUGGUGGGCCCAGAUAAUUCACAUUUAUAACAGCUGUUGAAUUUUACACAUUUUUUUUACAAUCCACACACCUCUAUCUCACUUUUUAUAAGAAAAUGUCUAAAAUGACUCUAUUUUAGACAACUAGAAAAAUUAAAACAUGGAUAGUUUAGACAUUUUCUUAUAAAAAGUAGGGUUUAGGUGUGUAAAUUUCACUCCCCUUAUAUUGACCCUUAAAAUGGUAAUAUAAAAUGGGUCCCAACUUUGAUAGCACCCACGAAUGUUUCGUAUACGUGAGAUUUUUAAGCUAUCGCCAUGGCAUUAGUCCGCAAAUCGUGACCAAGCCCAAUGCACACGAUUAUUCGUAGGUAAAAAGGCAACUCCCACGAAACAAAUUCCUAGCUAUACCCAGUUUUUUUUUUUUUUUUUUAGUGAUGGCUGAUUAAGUUGGAUAAGAGCUAGAUGUAUUGGUUCCACUUCCACCUCCAUGUAAACACAAAACUAUUGUAAUUUACCACACAAUAACUAAUUAGCAAAGACUAGUAGAAUACGUAUAUGUACUAAUGUACACCAAGGACUGACACCAAACUAACAAUUCAGGUGGCCCAUAUAUAACCGAGUUCGUUUUAUAAUUCGAGUUCUUACAUCUUUUUAAUAGAUUGAGCUGAUCAAGCAAAAAUUCGAAUCAAACAAAUGAAGUAAACGGAUCAAUGAACACAGGUUAUUCAAUAUGCAUGAUUGUGAUGUUACUGAAAUUAAUGGACAAUCAAUUUCAGUAUAAAGCUUAAGGUUAGCUGAGCAUGUCGUCUUAAUUAACUGCAGUACGUAUAGAUGAUCUGUUCUCAUUCAGUGUGCUGAUGUUCAUCUUCAGAAUGGAAAUCUGAAGUUGUGAAGAUGUAGUUUUUGAGAGCCCCGAGAAUGAUCCAUGCACAAUAGCACGAAAGACGAAAACUGAAGUGGAAGUAGAAUUUUUCUGUAAACUUUGUACCUACAAAAUUAAGUUUAAUAAUUUUCAGAUUCUUAUGCAGAGGUUUGGGUACGCAUGAAUCAAGAGAUCAGUGAAAGCAUAUUCUCAUCAUAAUUAACAUCAUACUUUCUGCAAUUUGUUCUCAAAUUGGAUUACCUAUAUAUAAAUUCUAGGCCAUAUAGAAAAUUAGAAAUAUAAGGUUGUUCAGCUUCCAUUCCGUGGAUGGAAAAUUCUAGUAUACCAUAUGGUAUAACAUACCUCACAAAAUAUGUGGCUAUCAUUGAUUGAAAAAACAACUAAAUGACCAUGUAAUGACUAUUUACCCCUUCAAAAGCCCACAUAGGCAUGUCAUACCAUAUGGUAUGAUAAACAAACCCUCCGUGGAUAUAUUUGUUAAAGAUCCUUGAAUCAUUUCCCCCAAAAAAGAAAAAGAAAAAAAAAGGAGAUCCUUGAAUCAGAGGUUAUAUAGGCUUUGAUGAAUGUCGUAUAUUGCUCGUCAUUUUCUUGAUGCAUCUAAUUAAGUACGUAGUUGGAGAAAACAAGAUGCCAGUGAAUCUAAUACCAAGAUUUCUUGCAGGGCUGCUUAAUAUCAAGUUAUCAACUAUUGUGAGUUACUAAAAUGAUUGAGUUCGUAUGUGGGUGAAGAUUUCACAUGGAAAUUUUGAUACAGAGAUAUGUAAUUAUGCAAACAGAUCCGUUCAUAUAUUCCUUUCCAUCGACAAACAAGUUACAUCAACACAGGCACACUUGAAAGAAAUCCCAUUUACAACAGUUGCGCACACAUGAUUAAAUCGAUCACUUCACUCCAAAACUUUCAAACCUCACUUUCCGGGAACAAAGUUUGUGGCAUAUGACCAAGCGUUGUUGUUAACAGGGUCAGCCAAGUGAUCAGCUAGGUUCUCAAUCGGUCCCUUUCCGGUAACAAUAGCUUGCACGAAGAAUCCGAACAUGGAAAACAUAGCCAGUCUUCCGUUCUUGAGCUCCUUCACCUUAAGCUCAGCAAAAGCCUCAGGAUCGUCUGCAAGCCCUAAAGGGUCAAAGCUCCCACCGGGGUACAACGGGUCUACUACCUCACCGAGAGGACCUCCUGCAAUUCUGUAGCCUUCAACAGCACCCAUCAAGAUCACUUGUGUUGCCCAGAUUGCCAAAAUGCUUUGAGCGUGGACCAAGCUAGGGUUUCCCAAGUAGUCUAGUCCACCCUCACUGAAGAUUUGAGCUCCAGCCUUGAACCAAACAGCUUCGCCGAACUUGACUCCAUUACGAGCCAAGAGUUCAGGGAAAACACAGCCAAGGGCACCUAGCAUGGCCCAUCUGGAAUGGAUGACUUCGAGCUCACGGUUCUUGGCAAAGGUCUCAGGAUCAGCUGAGAGCCCAGCUGUGUCCCAGCCGUAGUCACCGGGAAACUCUCCGGUGAGGUAAGACGGGGCUUCGCCGGAGAAUGGUCCCAAGUACUUGACACGGUCAGGACCGUACCACGGGCUGACGGAUGACACAUUCUUUGACUUGGCUGCGGUUUUGCGCAUGGUAACUCGGCCCUCACCGAGGAGGUUAGAUGUGGAGGAACCAAGCUUCACAGCUUGGCCAGCUAGAGAAGGGGAGGAGAGAGCCAUUGUUGAAGAAGCCAUUUGAGGAAAGUGUUGAGAGUUCUCAGCUUAGACAAUGUGGGGUGGUGAGGGCCGAGGGUUUGUGUUUUGAGUAGAGCCGUUGGUGGCUAUUUGUAUAGGGUUUUGUGUGGGGGUUCUUUAUCUUUUUGAUAUCUUCAUCUCUAUUCUUAUUGGGUGAUAGUGAAGUUUGAAGAUUUUUCCCUUCAACGGAUCUCUGCAUUUCCAGUUGGCCUCGUAUGCUCCACUACUAAGUUCAGUUAGUUCCAAAAAUAGAAAGACAUGCAGAGACAAAAAUGGAAAUCUGUUGUGGAUGUACUCUAUCGAAAAUAAAAUCUGUUGUGGAUACUCUGUGCUUUGAUUUCCAGCUAAUAGACGGUGACCACGUCAGCUUUGGAUCAGGGUAAUGGCUGAUUAAGAUUCUUGGAUAAGAGCUAGAUGUAUUAGUUCCACCUCCAUGUAAUGUACGUAUAUGUACACAAAGAAGUUAAUUAACUAGCAAAGAAUAGUAGAAUACGUAUAUGUACAUAAAGGACUAAUACCAAACUAACAUGCAACUCAGGUGAUCCCAUAUUAAUUAUAACGAGUUCGUUUUAUAAUUCGAGUCGUUACAUCUGUUUGAAAGACUAAGUUUAUCAUGUAAUAAUUUGAAUCAAACAAAUGAAGUAAACGGAUCAAUGAACACUGGUUAUUAAUGCAUGAUUGUGAUGUAUAUAUGUUACUGAAAUGGACAAGCAGUGUUUCUGUAUAAGCUUAAGUUUUCGCCAGAUCAAUUGAAGGAGGCCGAGCAUGUCGCCUAAAUUAACUGCAGUACAUAGACGAUCUGUUCCCAUUCAGUGUGAUGAUGUUCAUCUUCAGAAUGGAAAUCUGAAGUUGUGAAGCAAAAUGUAGUUUAUGAGAGCCCCAAGAAUGAUCCAAUGCACGAUGGCCUCCUGAAAGUCGAAAACUGAAGUAGAAGUAGAAAUUUUCUGUUAACUUUAUACCUACAAGUUUAAUAAUUUCAUGGACGCAUGAAUCAAGAGAUCAGUGAAAGAACAUUGUCAUCAUACUUUCUGCAAGCUAUCCUCAAAUUGGAUUACCUAUACAUGAAUUCAAGGCAUCAGCCAAAAGCCCAAAAGUAGUAUUGCAUAUAGGUUGUCCAGCUUCCAUGUUUGUCAUAAGGAUCCUCAAAUCAGCAUUAGUGGCUUUGAUUGAAUUUCAUAUAUCGCUUGUCAAUUUGUUGAUGCAUCUAAUUAAGUCGGAGAAAUUAUACAAGAUGUGUCAGAUAUUUCCAUGAUUUCUGGCAAUGCUGCUUAGAGCUGAUUCAUUAACUUGUGAGUUAAUAAAAGAUGAUUGAGCUUGUAUAGUUGUAUAUAUGGGUGAAGAUUUUACAUAAAAUUUUUAGUACAGAGCAAUUUAAGCAAACAGAUCUGUUGAUAUAUUCCUUUCCAUCGACAAACAAGUUACAUCAACAGAAACACACUUGAAAGAAAUCCCAUUUACAACAGUUGCAAACACAGAUGAUUCGAUCGAUCACUUCUCUCCCAAGCUUUCAAACCUCACUUUCCGGGAACAAAGUUGGUGGCAUAGGACCAAGCGUUGUUGUUAACAGGGUCAGCCAAGUGGUCAGCUAGGUUCUCAAUCGGUCCCUUUCCGGUAACAAUAGCUUGUACGAAGAAUCCGAACAUGGAAAACAUGGCCAGUCUUCCGUUCUUGAGCUCCUUCACCUUAAGCUCAGCAAAAGCCUCAGGAUCGUCUGCAAGCCCCAAGGGGUCAAAGCUCCCACCGGGGUACAACGGGUCUACUACCUCACCGAGAGGCCCUCCGGCAAUUCUGUAGCCUUCAACUGCACCCAUCAAGAUCACUUGUGUUGCCCAGAUUGCCAAAAUGCUCUGAGCAUGAACUAAGCUUGGGUUUCCCAAGUAGUCUAGUCCACCCUCACUGAAGAUCUGAGCUCCUGCCUUGAACCAAACAGCUUCUCCGAACUUGACUCCAUUACGAGCUAGGAGUUCAGGGAAGACACAUCCUAGAGCACCGAGCAUGGCCCAUCUUGAAUGGAUGACCUCGAGCUCACGGUUCUUAGCAAAGGUCUCGGGAUCAGCUGAGAGCCCAGCUGUGUCCCAGCCAUAGUCACCGGGAAACUCUCCGGUGAGGUAAGAUGGAGCCUCCCCGGAGAAUGGCCCCAAGUACUUGACACGGUCUGGGCCAUACCAAGGGCUGCCAGACGACACAGCCUUGGACUUGGCUCCAGUUUUGCGCAUGGUGAUUCUGCCCUCACCGAAGAUGUUAGAUGCAGCUGGGCUAAGCUGCACAGCUUGGCCAGCUAGAGAAGGAGAAGACAGAGCCAUUGUUGAAGCAGCCAUUUGAGAAAAAUGAAUCUAGUCUGGUUAGACUUGGAUAAGGGGAUGUGAUGGCCGUUUGUUUUGUGAUGGUAAGAGACCUUGGUGGGCAUAUUUAUAGCUCUGGUGAUAGGGAUUAUGCAUUAUCUGUGUGAUAUCUUUAUCUCUAACUCUCAUUGGUGAAAAUGAAGUUCAAAGAUUUCCAAUAUAUCUUCCUGUGAUUCUUUCCAGUUGGCUUCAUAUGUUCCACAAGUUUAGUUCAGAAUAUCUGAGAGACAAUGAAGAGAUUAUCUCAUUGUUUUCAUUUAUCUUAGAGUUUAGAUACUUUCAGCUGUGGCCGUAGUAUUUCCAAGUAAUGACUUAUUCAUUUCCAGUUGGCUUCAAAUUUUAUGUGGUGUUGAGAGCAUAGUCAACAUAUGCUUUAAUCUCAGUCCAAGAGAUUUUUGGUAGGCAAUUGGUAAGUACAGCCUUCCGAGACUAAUGACACCAAAAGAUUAUAGGAUAGAGGGAAAAUAUUUGCAGGUGAAAAUUUGUGAACACUGAACUAACAGGAACUUGGUAUUUCAAGUGUCACAAUUUGUUGCCACUGAAUUUGUGUCAUUUUUGAUAUAAAUGUGCAGAACACAUCCAAAAUAUCAUGAUUAUAAAAUCAUGCUAUUUACUUCUGAGAUACAAAUCUGAACUGGCAUGUUUUUUAUGCAGGGAAGUAGGAUUCUGAUAUUGAACUACUAGUAUACUGGAGCCCUAUGUUCUUUAGUCAAAAGAGAACUGAACUACAAAGUGCUCGAUUCUCAAGUGCCGAGCCCUACGAGUAAAGAGUGUACAUACUCAUCCUAACCUCGUUUGGCUUCAUCAAUUGAGCGUAAACUAAAUGAUAUAACCUUGUUUUCCGGCACUAAAGCAUAUAGUUAGGUAAAGCAUCUCAACAACAUCAUCAUCAGCUAAAAAAUCUGGAAUUGAUGUAAUAUACAAAGUGACCAAGGCAACUCAUUGUCAUCAGAUUUUUACUGUUAAACAACUACAUGAGUCAUAGCAACUCAAAUAAACUUGUGCUCUACCUUAUAUGAGACUUGCCCGUAACUUACAAAGAUCUAGAAGCAACUCAUGGUCAUAAAGUCAAAUGAACAACAGGAUAAUCAUGGCAACUCAAAUAAGGACUUAGUACUACCACAUAUAUGAGUUCCCCAAACCAACAGAUAUUCUAGCAUAGCUGAGACAUUUGUGAGAUUAUGAUCGAAUUACAAAUCAACACAUUAAAACAAACUCAUUAGCUGACACAAUUCCGACUGAGUUAACAAACAUACCUGUUGGAGUAAGUAACUUAUUUAUAAUGUCGAGAGCAGUCAACACCCCAGAUUCAAGAGGAGUCAGGUAUCCAAUCUUUUGGCAAUGAGGAUUCGAAUAUUCGGAGAAGCAUUGUUCUCUCCUUUCUCCCUAGCUUCCUUGCACCAUAUCCACGGAAAACACCAAGCUUACGUGCCUUUUUCCCUUCUUCCACUGCUCUUUUUCUCACGGCGACCAAUAAAUCUGUCCCUUGGGGAUCAAUGUUGUUCUCUUGUUUUUCACUUCCACAUUUCUCUUGGUUCCCUGUAAUUGAACUUGCGCUAUCAUCUGCUAAUUUGUUGGACUGAUGCUUGUUUUCUUCAUCAGCGUUAUCUGCUUCUCCAUGGAUACCCUCAUCACAAUCUGGGCUAUUGCUUCCCCACCAUCUAUUGGAUGCAGUUGAUAAACCUUCAGAUGGGAAUCCAGACUUAAACUCUUCCAAGGUUGUACCUUUGGUCAAGCUUAACGUGAGAAGAUUGUGAGGCCGUCCAGUCUGAACAUUUUUGCUUCCUUGCUGAUGCAAAUUAUUAGAGGCCAUGACACCUGGUGGUUUCAACUGCAAUACUGGGUAUUGGGAAUCACUGCAUUUAAAAAUGAAGGCCAAAGAAUAUGAAAGGGAACAAUGAAGAAAAAAGGUUCACCAGGAACAUUUAAUGUCAUGACCAAUCUGUUGGUCAAUAUGUCUAUCACGAUUAAGUUGGUUCAUACAAAACAAGUAGAAUGCACCAAAAGUAAUGUCACAGAGGGGAAUAUCAAAGAUGACUAACAAUAAACAAUUAAGAGAUUAAACACCACCAGGUAGCAGCCUUAUAUUAGUAUUUAGUUAUGAUUCUCAGACUCUUCUUCACAUAUAGUCAAAUUUACAUUAACUUAUAAGGUUUAAUUCCUAUCUGCUUCAUCACUGAUCUAAAGACAUGAUUUUUAUGUGAUUUAUUUUCAAUAUCCAACAAUUUUUCCGACCCAUGUGUAAUUGGUUUCAGUAUAUCAUUAGAUGUGCAGCAUAAUCAUCUUUUCUCUUUGGUUAAGUAGCCCUAACCAAAAAGCAACCAACUCUAUAUAAAUUCAGGCCUAACUACGAGUCAUCAAGAAGAUAGAGUAUAUGCAGUCAGGAGGAUAAGCAAGCAUGUGGAAACCGAGUCCGGGCGUGUCCCAAGUGAGCAAGGCAAUCAACAGAUAAGCGCAAUGCAAAACGCUCUCCUAACCUUCAAGCAAGAGUCUUGGGCACCAUAAUCUCUAAAAUAGCAUCUCAAACACCCGUAAGCUCUUCCUUUCAAAUGCAGGAUUUCAAAAGAUGUCACCCUUGGCUAUUAUAUCAAAUACAGGACCAAGAGUAGCCGAAGCUAGAUUUGCGAAAAAGAUCAGAUCUUUAUGUACCAAUUUUUGGCAUCUAACUUAGUUACUUGUAUUCUUCUGCAGAGAAAUUGCAUUCUCUACAAACAUGCUGCAAAUUUCACUCCUAAUCUAUGGACAUCGAACCCAAAAUCGUGAGCAAACCUUUUCAUCUUUUCUAGAGUAGAUUUCAAUAUCAUUUACCAACACACACAAGGGCAUCUACAUAUAUACAUAGAACCAAUACUAGGAUACAAAAAUCACUAAUAUAAAAAGCACAGACCUUUUGGAAGUAAAUUUGUUGCUUCCGAAAGGCCAACCCCAGAAGCAUGAAUUUGAAGUCUCUUUCGGGAAUCAAACGUAAGACAGAAAAACGCAAAGCACAGGAAACAGAAUAACAGAGUAUCUCGCUUACGAUUGGGCUGUUGUUUUUGUUGUUGUGGUGGCUGCUGCUCUAGUGUGGCUGCUGCCUUGAGCUCUCCAUUUCAGACACCUAAAAGUGGAGAGCUCAGAAACGAAGUGACUUUCAUAUGGGUUAAAGACAAAACUGUAUGUUCUAUAUUGUUUAAGCAAAUCGACACGUGGCAGAAUCGUGUUUCUUAGUACAUGCUUUCUACGGUCAGGAUUCGAAAUUGGUAAUUUAUUUUCGUUUAAAACCUAAAAUUGCUGUUAAGCAUCACUGUAAAACAAGACCGUCAUGUCCUCCUAAGGCACUACAAGCUUGCCACUGCCCAAGGUGGUGGCUAGCAAGUUUUUGAACCUUUAUGUGUAUCUAAUUUUUUUUGUUUUUAAUCUCUUUUUUUCACACAUUAGCUUGGUACAGUGACCUAAUACUUAGACCUCGUUUGGUUCAUAAAAAAUAACUAUCAACAAAGAUAUAUAAGACUAUAAGUCACUCUACUCGAUCUGCCCAUAAAAAAUAAUUCGUAUGAUGCUAUAGAAUUUUCACAUGAAUUUAUCUUUCCUUCCGGCAAGAAUCAUUGAAAUUUGUAGCCCUCCGACUGAAUGCUUGGUUGAAGAGCAACCGUGUUUGGAACUCGGAGACAAACGGGAACCAUGACAAAAUGGCAACAGGCGCGAAGACUGCCACUCCCAUUAUAUAAUCAUAUUCUCUUCCCAGCUCCUUGAUUGAUUCCCAGAAUCCUACUCCCUUAAGCAUUGGCCUGCAUGCUUGCCCGAUCUUGAAAGGAAAAAAUAUAAAUGGUUUUCAGUAAAUAUAAUGCAUUAGAAACACUCGUGAAAAAAAGCUACUGUUAAGAGAACCAAGUUACUCCCUAUUUAUUUUGGUACAUUCUGAUCACUGAGGUCAGAAUAAGUGUACUAGUAUGAUAAACGAAAUGAGAAAUCUGAAGGCACUAAGUGCAGAUAACCAGAGACAGAAAAGUUUGACUUACAAGAAGAAGUGCCCACCCUGUGGGCAAGAAGGCAAGGAUAGAGGCAAACAGAUCUGAAAUAGUAAGGCCACAAACUACAAAUAGGACAGUCAUGACUGACAUGAAGCCAAGGAAAAGAAGCGCUUUCAGAAUUCUGAACAUGAGCUGAAAGUCGGCACCAAAUCUUCGUCUAACCAUUGACACCAUCUGACAGAAGUGUAGCAAAUAAAUAAGCAACAUCAUUCAUUUGAUACUAUAUAAAGUUCCCAGGAAAAAUAUGAUACUGAUAAAAGUAGAAAAGGGUAUGCACAAACUGUCAUGUUAUCUAUAACUUGGUCAGAACCUGAACAGCUUAUUCUUCAAAAACAUUCAUAACUUACAAAGUUUAAUGCUUUAUUUGUGAUUUUCAUUUGCAUACCUUUAAGACGAGAAGCACUGUUACCAUAACCACCCAAGAAAGUCCAUAAACCUACACACAAAUUGAAAAGGUAGUCGGUUCUGAAUGUUAAAAGCAACAAGAGACAACGUACUCGUAUAUGUUUGAACAUAAAUACUACCAGUGAACUCUUGCUGAAAUGAGCUAUAUCAAGGUGGUAAACAAUCCCAUAUUGGAAAAAGAAGAAGCGACAUGCAAGCACUAUCUCAAGAAUUCUUCCACGGAUAGUAGUGUGCUUGAGGUCUUCCUGCUCUUCAUCCCACCAUGAUUCCCAACUUUUGUCAGGUGAGAUCCCAAUACCACCACGAUUUCCCAUCCACCUCUUCCAAUCCGCCCAAUCAUCUACAGUUUUUUGCCAGUCAAAGCUGGAUGGAUUGAAGAUAAAAGGAGCAAACAACCAGGAAGCAACCAGAAACCACAUGGAGAACGUGAUGAAAAAAUACAGAUUUGAACUCCUAUAAGCAUUCCCGUAGACUCCAUAUACAAUCAGCAGAAUCAACAGCUCCAACCCUUUCACAAAGUGACUUCUUGAGUACAGCCUGUAGUUAUCGGCAAACUUUGCAUGAAAAACAACAAAACCACGGCCAGUUGGUCUAUAUUUGGAUCCACCAUGUAAGAUUGUCCUUCCGUAGUAAUGUGCUUUUGUUCCUAAUUGGAAAGUGAAGAAAACAGAGGCCAGCUGCAACUGCAUGAUGAUGAAAUCACCCAAGGCAGUGCGGAAUCCUUUCUCCAGACCAAUUUCCAUAACCAUGGGGAGGACCAGCAACAACCCCAGUUGAAAGACAGACUGUGUAGCCAGAGCUUCUUCAAAAGCCUUGGUCUGAUGUAUGGCUGGGCUAUCCAGGAUCUCACUUUCCAAUCCACUCAUAACCAUAUAUAGACGUCCAUAUAAAAACACAUAGACAGUCAGCACAGUUACCUGAAACGAAAUAGUAUCUGUAUCAAAUAGAAUUACAUUACCAAAACACUGCACUCAAAGAACAUCUGCCCAGAAAAGUAAAACCAAAGCGAACCAAAACAAAUCCUCAUAUUUAACUUGUUUCCUAUUCAAAACUAAGAUUCAGUCAAUUUGAUUGUAUAGUACUAUAGUAGGAUGACUUCUUUAUCAAUGACACCAUUAAGUUAAAAAAGAAAUACACUAAAGAAAAAUUGUAUUACAAAAUAAAUAGUGGUAGGCACUAAGAUCAACAAGCAGUUGGCCUGAAGCUGUCAUUAACAUGUGAAAUGGGUAGCAUCACUAGCAUGCAUAAUGGUUUUACAGUCAUUUGAGUAUCCUAUCCCUUCACAUGAAUCAACACCAUAUAACCUAGUACUUUAGAGAAAGGUGAUUUAAUACAGUGAUUGAUUAUAAACUAACAUAUUCUCUAUAACUUACUUUUUUUUAAUUCAAUAAUAUUCUCUAUAACUUAUUGAUAUAAGGUAUAUACUAUGAAACAACCAAGUCAACUAAUGAAAAGAUGAUUGGUUUGGAUAACAUACCAUGCUACUAAAAUAGAACCCAACUGUUGUGAAGUAAAAGGACAGCAUUCUAUAGAAAUCAAACCGAUGGCCAAGCCUAUAAACAUCACGGCUAAGUGUCUGCUCUCCAUUCCCAUUUGCAACUUUAGACUCGAAAAGUGAUAUCUGAUUCAUUCCAACAUCACGCCCCUUGCCUACUUGGAUAUACUCAUGAUGUGUUACAAAUCCCCCACGCAGAACAGAAUUGUACCCUGAAGACAUACAAACAAUUAGUCAAAAACAUUCAAUACUUACUAGACAGGGAUCUUCUGGUGAAUAUAUGAAAAAUUUACCUGAAAAUAUAUUCUCGCUUAAGUUAAUUACUUUCGAUGCUUUGCUUAUGCCACCCCUUGUUAUGUGGAAGAGUCUGUCAAAAAUAUCCGGAUGGCCAUAAUGAAACCGUACCCUGUCAUGGUAGAAUGUUAUUAGAUGGAUGGGUACUUGAACGGUAAUAGUAUAAACAGGGGGAAAAUGACAAAGAAAGAAGAUGAUGCUAGUAGUAACUCUAGAUUGGGACUGAGCUGUAGCUCAAGUUGAACGUAAAAUAUAAGGCAUACCUCAGAUUUGCCAAAAUUCGUUGGCCUAUAGUGACAAAACUAGUCUCUUGAUUGGACAUGAACGAAGCAAGUGAUGAAACACUGUAGAUCAGAGGUUGAACAUAAGAUAAAUAGAAUUAACUGAAACAGUGCAAAUCUGCAGAAAAUAUUAUACACAAUCCCAAUCCUAGCAGUCAUAAAGGCCCAAUAUACGAGGCGUUGGAGGUUCGACGCCGGUGGUGGGGAGACAUGGCAAAGCAACUUCGAGUUUGGGCCGGAAUGAGGAUUGGGUUUCUGCUUGGUUUGGUCCAUUGGGCCUGGGUGAAGAAAAUCAGUCCACUUCGGGCAAUUAUUUUAACAGCUUUAUGUUAUUUUCUUUUAUUUACUGCUUUCAAUAAGGAGAUGUGGGCGUCGUCCCGGGGUUGGCACCUUGCGUGCCUCGUUUGUCCUAGGUAAGUUGCAAGUUUCUUGUUUUGUCAAAUGGUCGCAACCUUCUAGUGGCAAGAUGAAACAUAAGGUCGCCGGAUAUGAUUCCGUACGGCAACAUAGUAAAAAAUUUGCACUAUUAGUCAUCAUGAUGCUUGUCCUUAAUACAAUUAUCUUUCCGUUAUGUCACCGCUUUACCAAAGCAAAUAGAGUUACCGAUGAUGCAUUCUUUGCUAACUGGUACAUGUUGAAAUACGUUAUUCUUUGUAAUUUGGGGUUUAGACUUUAUGUCCCCUUUUUGUAUUCUAUGGUUUUAUCAAUCAAGACUUAAGGACAGCCGUACCGGCUCUUUUUCCAAAAAAAAGAAAAAGAAAAAAAAAAGCUCAAUAUAUAUUGUGAAGAGGUAUAUGAAAAGGCUGACCUUCCAGUAAAAAUAUGUUCCCUUAGACCCAAUAUUGUAGGUUUCCGCUGCCCCCGUCGAGGCUUCCGGAAUUCCUCCAAUACAUUUCUCAUUUUGAAAGCUUCCUCAAAAUAAUUAUCCUGUAUAAAAUUUAUUCAAAAAGACAGUAAAUAUACGAAAACACAGUUAACCGCUUUCUCAUUUUGCAUAACGGUGCAAUGAUUGCCACCUGAUUCAUGUCAAUGGUUUGCAGGGCUUCUCCACGAGUAAAGACGAUGGCAUGGUUUUGAUUUUCAGGUCUGCCUUCACCAAUUUCUGUAGGAGAACCUGGAAGCUUGAUGCGGUAUAUUUCCUAGCAAAGAAAUAAGAUUCCUCAACUGAGUUAUUGACUAUUAGCCACAUAUUCUGCUCAUAUGAGACAUUAAGCUCAACAAAGGUAGGUAAAGGCUCUUCAUCAUUCCAUUACAAGUAUGGAUUCCUCGAGAAUUGCUACUCUAGAUGGUACUGAGAUAACAUACAAGUGCACAGAUAUAUGAUGUUAUUUCCUUCCUUACCUCAUCCCAUUUGUCCCCUCCCUUGACCAGCACAGAAAAAUAAAUCUUUUGGGAUUUUCCAUUCACUGUCUCCUCUCUUGUAUCUAUGUAAGCAACCCAUAGAGAAGGAUACCUACAAGACGGUUUCAUGUGUAAAGAUCAUAUCAAUUAUUCAUAUUACAAAGGGAACUACAUAGUGUUCAUAUUAUGGUGAUAACUCACGUUAACAUCAGCUUGAGAAUAUUUGUGUAACAACUUUUGUCACGACUUUCACUGGAAUUCUUCUGUUCACCGUAGAUUUGACAAGAAACUACAUAAGUGAACUUCAAAUCUGCCAGAGCUUGUGCCCGAUCAAGAAUAUCCUUCUCAUCAAUUUGACUUAAUAUCUGGGCUGGGUAGCCUCCAUAAACACCUGCAAAUAUCCGUUUUCCACAUUAUUUGCUUGUAAAGAUUUUGGAACUAAAAUCAUGAACGUCAAUCUGGAGUUGAAACACAUUUUUGUCAAAGGACCACUAACCAUCUCCUGCUGUUUCCAGGAUACAUUGAAGGUCUAGAGCCUUCCUAUAGUACAUCAUUCCUCUCACUAGCAGAAAAUACAGAUAAAAUGUUAAGAAUUGGACAUGGUACUUGUAUAAGAUACAAAGUUACAGAUCAUGCAGACCUGUUCUAGAAAGUGUCUGUCCCCUGUAAGAUACCCACUGGCGAAGUAACUCCGACUUGUCCUUGUUAGAGUACUCAUUCUUAGGUUCAUUUAUGCGGUCCUGGAAAUUUCUCCAUUCAUCUGUUGGUAGUCAUAGUUGGUAGACAGGUAUCAGUUCAAAUAAAUUUCAAACAACGAAAAAGAAUAAUCUAGAAAUGAGACUGAAAUGCACCAGGAUAUAUCUUCUGCAGGUAGAACAAGAUUGAGAUUCCAUCCUCAUUUUCCUUGUUGAGUUCAUCAUCAGAAUACAGAACAUCUUCUUUGUAAUAAGGAGUCAGAACACUGAAUCAUAAAUCAGGAAAAAGUGAGAUGUUAGACAGGCAACUAUUAAAAUUUUAGAAGACCACUACAAUCACAUGGUUGACAAAUUAAAAUACACAUUCAUUCAUUGAAAAUAGAUCCCGAAGCAUACAAGUACUCCUCCAAAAUGAAAAGAGAAACAUAUCUUGACUACAAUUCCAUUAAGUCAGUAGGAAAGCUUUAGUGUGUUCCUCACCUUUGACAUUAUUGCAGUAAUAUGUUAGUUUCUCUUUGUUUUUUAUUAUGUUGUUGUAGUUCACUAGCAACAUAAUAGUUCCCACUGACAACUGACAAACCAAGAUUCCAUAAUGACUGACCUAAAGGAGAGCAUGUCACGAACUUUGGGAGCAUUUGGCAUGUUCAUGAAUAGAGAGUUCGCAAAGAAAGUAAUGCGCCUGCGAGCAUCCAAGUUUUCGGGCACAUUGAUGGCAGAUUCCUUGACGGUCAAAAGCAAAUGAAGCCUAACAACCUAUGUACAUGUAGAAGAAAAAAUAAGACCAAAAGAUUUUGGAUCUUCAGUUAUUGUCUUUGACACAAGAAUAUCUGCCAAAAUUACCUUCUCUCUCCAAGAUGGAUUUUGUGCAAGGUAUAUGUUGAUUUUUUCAAACCUUUGCUCCUUCUUGACAUUUUGACCCUCUGUGUAGUGAGCUGCUUCAAGAAUUCUACAAAGAAAGAAGGACACCUAUUAACAUAUGGAAACCAAAGGGGCUCAAUUGGUGGUCAAAUAUAACAAUAUUUUUUACUGCCUCCAGUAUGCAUUUAUUCUCAGUCCUUACUGAUGGCCAUUGAUCAUUACUUCCUGUGUUAUAAUCUCCAUGAUAUCUUGAAGGACAUUGAUUAUCUGACGCAAGUAAUUAUCGACAUCCUCAUCUCCAGCUAGCUGUCAACAUACCAAUUUAGUAACUCAAACAUGACACUGUCUAAACAAUAUCUAUCAGUUCAUUGCUGAAAGCAGCAGUAAACAAUUGACCAAACGUUGAGGGAAGUAUAUUACCAAGAGUUUAAGAANNNNNNNNNNNNNNNNNNNNAAGUCCUUCGUCCUGCCAGGUAAGUGGUUAUAGUUAGCCUUAAGCUAUACAAACUGAAAGGUUAUAAGUCAUAUUAAAUAGAAAGAAAGAAUUACAAUAAUUAGUAAGUUACGAAAAUGUUUGACUUUGGUAUGCAAAAGAAUUUGUAUUUGGUAUGGAAAACAUUACACAAAGCAAAAUUAACUGAAUCCUAUCCACAAGAGUGCAGUGUGAAAACACUGGAGAUGGAUAGUACCACCAAGUGUUUCUUCUUUUUGGCAUCCUUAAUUUCUGAUGAUGGCAUAAGCCGAUCACUGAAAGCUGAAGGCACAGACUUAAAUCUGGACCGCAACAUCCCAAGUGUUCGUAUCUGAGAGACAACAAAUGAAUAAUCCUCAAACCCAAGCUGAGACAGAUCUAAAACACAUAUUCUUAAUUGUGAAUGAUAAUACAUGUAUAUAUACAGGAAAACAUAUAUGUAAAUCUGAGUGAGAAUAUGCAACUGACCUCCCCCAAAUGGCUGAAGGCUCCUUGAAUCCCACCGAACAGAGUAGAAAAUAUUGCAUACCAUAUUUGUGCAUCCAUAAUGUAUACCUAUGUACAAGAUAAAUCAUUGCAAAGUGGUAAAUGGGAUAAUAGUGUUCACAAACCGAGGAUUUCACUCGAACAAAUUCUUCAUUGAUUCACUUACUAAGACAAUUGGAGCCCAUAUUGCAAUGACAACACCAAUAUUAUGAGUUGCUGCAUUAGUUCCAAAUUUGAGUUUGUAGUUAGACUUGCAGAUAAAACUAAAGUAAAACAUAGUAAAACAUAGCUCAAUAAGUUACCAUUAGGAAAUAACUCAUGCCAUUGAUAAUUAGUGAUGGGCAUAUCCAUUAUCAACUUUGUUGGUGCAACAAGCGGCGAUAUCUAUUUCCAGAUUAUACAAAUUCAUGUCAGGUAAAAUAAAAUACAGUAAAAUAAACUCAGUUCAUACGUAUCCUCGAAGGAAAAACUUAUGUUACAGUAAAUGAAACUUGGUUCUAAUGAUUUAGCAGAAGUACCAAACAAGUUUGAAUGAAAUUUAGCAGUAAUAAAGCAAGAUUUGAGGAAUUUGAGAGAAAUAACCUCCACAUAAUAGCUGAAUGCAAGCUUGCUGAUUAGCAGCAUGAUCCAGAACAAUGUAUAUCUGAUUAAACAAAAGGAUAAAUCAGUCAUAUGAGAAAAAUAUGUAUUAUGAGAAAAAAUAAGUACCAUAAAUCAAAUCAAAAGUAAUGACGAAUGACUGAGUGACUUGAAAAAUUAACGAUAUAUCAUAUAUAACUCCAGAGACAUGCAGAAAAACAGCAAAGGGACCACACACAGUAUAUGCUUCUCUCAAAAGAUGAAGAAUAAAGAAGAAUUGAAAUUUGUUUAGUACUUGUGGUUUGAAUUCGAAAUCUGUUUAGCCCUCGUGGUUUUAUUUUAAUCUGAAUAGUUCUUAAAGUUAGGAUUUUUUUAUCCAAAUAGUCCUUAUGGUUUUAUUUUAAUCUGAAUAGUCCUUAGAGUCAUGAUUUUUCAUCCAAAUAGUUAUUCUGAUAAUUUUCUCAGUUAAAGGCCAUAAAGACUAUUUAGAUGAAAAAUCAUGACUUUAAGAACUAUUCAGAUUAAAAUAAAACCAUAAAGACUAUUUAGAUGAAAAAUCUUAACUUUAAGGACUAUACAGAUUAAAAUAAAACCAUAAGCACUAAACAGAUGUCGACUUCAAACCACAAGAACUAUACAAUAUUUUACUCAAUAAAGAACGAAUGUAGAUUGUUUUUCGAUCUCUUACUUCAGCAGUGAGAAGACAUCCUCAUGCAUUCCUCUUCCGACAUACAGUUUUGGCUGCAAUAUGGCCACCAAGAAGAGUCAUAUGAGCCUAGCCAAAACGCAGAAAAAGAGUCUAUGAAAUUACAAGAGAACAUGAACUUUGGUUAGACCAAUGAGAGAAACUUGCCUGAGCCCACCACAUAAAAAGAGUGACAAUGCGCCAGUUGGAACGCUCUACGUGUCUCCGUAAAGGUGGUAGAACAAAUAGCAUAGCAGCCAAUAUAUUAGGAACCAUAUAGAUUGCAACAGCAUAAUUAUAAAAUGAUUGAUUACUGAAGAAUUUCAGAAGCCCUGUAGGAUUCUGCAUAGAACUUGAAUAACCAAUAGGCAGAACCACAGCCCAGACAACAGCUACUGCAAAUUUCAAAAGGUAUCGUAGUAUUUGAGUGAAUUCCAAGCUCUUCCAUGCAUUCCAACUGAGAAUCAUGUCCAAAGUGGCUGCAGAACAUAAUAGAAAAGAGGACAAAGUGAAAAGGCAGAAAAAUUAAGGAAAAGGAUGGCAUGCCAUUGACUAGAGUUAUGAUAUACAUUAUAUGGAAUUAUGGAUGCCAAGGUCUCCCACCAUAAACCAGUUUUCAAACAAACUUAAAGAUUUAAGAUAGCACCAGUACCUUGUAAUAAAUUCAGGAAAGCGUAUGUCAUGAAGAUGCUUAACACACUUCUAAAGACAUCCGCAUCAAAUAUUGAAGUGACAGAUCCAGAAGGACUCCAUGCAACAAUAAUCAUAGCCUGAUAAUCAGAACAUAAUGAAUGUAGGAUAAUAAACCAAGCCUUAGGUAAAUAUUUUUAACUCCUACAUAGCAGUAACUUUGUUAAGUGGUUUAGUUUUAUCUGGAGUCUUCCACUUAUGGAGACUUCUAGUUUUUGUGUAUUUUAAAUUGGAGCAACUUGUGCAACUUGGUUGCUCUAGACCUUUCGUUGUUGUAUAUAUAUAUAGCUGCUGAUGUACUAAGUUUUGGUUGAAUGAACAGAAGAACAAUUCUUGCUCCAGAAAAACUCUUCUCAUCUGUGUGUGUGUGUGUGAUUGAUUUGCUGUAGUGUUAUUCCAUCUGGUGUUUGUAUUGCUGGUGUGAUAUUGUUAGUUGCUGUUCAGUUUCUACAUCUGGUAUCAGAGCAGGUACGCUCAAAUUGAAGAAGUGUAGAGAUUGAUGGCGAAUUGGGGGAAUGAUUUUCCUCAAUGUCCAGUUGGGAAAUUUGACGGGAAAGGAAACUUCCAGCAUUGGAGAUCGCAGAUGGAACUCUUCUUCAAAAUCAUGGAGUACACAGAGGUGGUGAUCAAUGGAUUUACAGAUCCAGGAGACCAAGCAAAUCUCACACGAGAUCAAAGAGAAUAAUUGGUUCGAAAUAGGAAGAAGGAUUGCAGAGCCCUGAUGUAUAUAUUUGGAGCAAUUGAUUCUGAAGUUUAUGAGAAGAUUGCACAUGUUACAACAUCGAAGGAGGCAUGGGAUUGUUUGAUCAAUACUUAUGUUGGGCGAGAUAAAGUGAAGAAGGUGAGAUUGCAGACUCUACGGCGACAGUUUGAGCUUCUUCAGAUGGAGAAGAAGGAAAGCAUCUCUGAAUACUUUGCAAGAACAUUGGCUAUUGUCAAUCAAAUGAAAGCCAAUGGGGAGGAUAUCAAAGAGCUGCAGAUUGUGGAGAAGAUUCUUCGAACCUUGACGGAGCGGUUUGAAGGAAAAGUCACAGCCAUUGAGGAGUCACAAGAUCUCAAUGCUAUGACGGUGGAUGAUUUAAUGAGUUCCUUGCAGGCCUAUGAACAAAGGCUGAAUGAGAAGUUAGAGAUGGUGAUUGAAGAAGCAUUGCAGACUCAAUUAAGCCUCAAGAAGGAAAGAAAUUGGUCACCACGUGGUGAGUCAAGCUCAACUCAAAGGAAUCAAAGUUCAAGUUACAAGAGAGGUUCACAUGGCAGAUUUGGAGCAAGAAGAGGAAGAGGAAGGGGCUUCCAUUGGAGUCAAGGACGAGAUAGAUCGAAUGUCCAGUGCUUUAAUUGUCAUGGUUAUGGUCAUUACAAGAAUGAGUGCAACUUGAGAAGGCCGGAGAACAAGCAGUUUCAUGCCAAGUUUGCAGAAGACAAUGAUAUCAAUGAGGAGACUUUGUUGAUGGCUUUUAGUGCAAUGAGUAAUGGUGAACAGAUCACAUGGUACUUGGACACAGGUUGCAGCAAUCAUAUGUCCGGCCACAAAGAGUUGUUCAUUGAGCUGAAUGAGUCAAUACGAGCUGAGAUAACAUUUGGGAAUGCUGCAAGGAUGCCGGUUAAAGGAAAAGGCAAGAUCUUUAUACAGUUGAAGAAUGGGAUGUACAACACCAUAUCAUAUGUAUAUUAUGUGCCUGGCCUUAAUCACAACUUGCUUAGUGUGGGGCAAUUAUCAGAGAGGGGGUAUGAUAUGCGCAUCUACAGAGGAGUUUUCACCAUCAAAGAUCCUCAACGGAAACUAAUAACAGAGGUAACUAUGACUCCUAAUCGCUUGUUUCCAUUACUUAUCCAAUAUGAUAAGUUACCUUGCUUUAGUUCUAUUACAAAUGGUGAUAAUUGGUUGUGGCAUAUGCGUUAUGGGCAUUUAAAUUUCAAUAGCUUGAAUUUCCUUGCAAGAAAAAGUUUAGUAUCUGGAUUGCCCCCUAUUCAUGUUCCGAACCAAGUUUGUGAGACUUGUGUUCUUGGAAAGAAGCAUAGAGAUAGCUUUCCGAUAGGAAAGGCCUUGAGAGCUAAUAUGCCCCUUGAAAUUAUACACUCAGACUUGUGUUCUGUUGAGGUUCCUUCAUAUGGAGGUGCCAGAUACUUCGUCACUUUUAUUGAUGAUUUUAGCAGGAAAGCAUGGGUGUAUGUUUUGAAGAACAAGUCUGAGGCAUGUGAUACGUUUAAGGCCUUCAAAGCUUAUGUUGAAAAGCAGAGUGGAGAAAAGAUAAAGGUGUUGAGAACUGAUCGAGGCACAGAAUAUGUAGUUUGUGAUGACUUCUUGAGGAAAAAUGGUAUUAAACAUCAGCUCACAGCAAGUUAUACGCCUCAGCAAAACGGCGUAGCGGAGAGGAAAAAUAGAACCAUUAUGGAUAUGGUGAGAUGCAUGCUGAAAUUGAAAAAUUUGCCUAAGUAUUUUUGGGCAGAAGCUGUUAGUUGCGCAGUUUAUAUCCUGAACAGGUCUCCUAGUAGAAGCACUGGUGGAAUUACUCCGUAUGAAGUGUGGAGUGGUAAGAAGCCCAACAUUCAUCAUUUGAGGGUAUUUGGUUGCAUCGCAUUUGCUCAUGUUCCAGCUCAAAUAAGGAAGAAGCUUGAUUGUAAAGCUGAAAAGUGCAUUUUUAUUGGCUAUAGCACGGUGACAAAGGGGUACAAGCUUUUCAAUCUGGUGACGAAGAAGGUGAUAAUUAGCCGAGAUGUCACUUUUGAUGAGCAAAAUGCGUGGAAUUGGAGUUCAAAAGAAAAAGAACCAACAACAUUCAUUCGAUUGGAGGAUGAAUCAAUUGAAGAAGGUCAGUUGGUUGGUGUUCUAGAAGAGUCUCCAGCAGUAGAAGUUCUAGAACCUGAGUCUCCAGUAGCAGCAGUUGAAGUUCCAGAAGCUGAGCCUCCGCUAGAAGUUGCAACAGCAAGGCCUCAACGUGAUCGUCGUUUGCCACCAUACUUGAAAGAUUAUGAGAUGAAGACCAAAAGGAGAAGCAUAUUAGAUGAAGAUAUUGUCAAUUUUGCUUUGUAUGCAGAUUGUGAUCCUCUUGCCUAUGAUGAGGCUUGUCAACAACAACAUUGGGUCAAGGCGAUGGAUGAUGAACUUCUUGCUAUUGAAAAGAAUGACACAUGGGAGCUCACUCCACUUCCGGAAGGAAAGACAGCUAUUAAAGUCAAAUGGGUGUAUAAGACUAAGUACAAGCCUAAUGGAGACGUGGAUCGUUACAAAGCAAGAUUGGUAGCCAAAGGCUACAAGCAAAAACCAGGUAUUGAUUAUCUUGAAGUUUUUGCUCCUGUUGCUAGGCUUGAUACUGUGAGAAUAGUGAUUUCUCUUGCUGCUUAUAAUUGUUGGAAAAUAUUUCAAAUGGAUGUUAAAUCCGCUUUCUUGAAUGGAACUCUUGAGGAGGAAGUCUAUAUUGAGCAGCCACUUGGAUAUGUGAAGGAAGGUCAAUCGGAGAAAGUAUAUAAGCUGAAAAAGGCUUUAUAUGGUCUUAAACAAGCUCCUAGAGCUUGGUACACCCGAAUUGAUUCCUAUUUUGUGGAGAAUGAGUUUGAAAGGUGUCCAUAUGAGCAUACAUUAUAUGUUAAGACUAAUAUGGAGGGAGAUGUUAUUAUUGUGUGUUUGUAUGUGGACGACCUUAUUAUCACUGGUAAUAAUUCAAAGCUAGUUGGAGAAGUCAGGGAGGCUUUGGCAUCUCAUUUUGAGAUGACGGAUAUGGGGUUGAUGUCGUACUUUCUUGGUAUUGAAGUGGUGCAAACUGAGAAGGGGAUUUUUAUUUCUCAGAGGAAGUAUGCUGGAGACAUUCUCAAGCGUUUUAAAAUGGAGUCUAGCAAUUCAAUCAUGACUCCGGUUGAGCAGAGAUUGAAGUUGAAGAAAGAUGGGAGUGGAGAGUUUGUUAAUCCCACAUGGUAUAAGCAGCUUGUUGGGAGUUUGCGUUACUUGACGGCUACUAGGCCUGACAUCACAUUUGGAGUUGGAUUGAUUAGCAGAUUUAUGGAAGCUCCUUGUCAGUCACAUUUGCAGGCAGCAAAGAGAAUAUUGAGAUAUGUCAAAGGAACUCAAAGUGAUGGAAUUUUCUAUGCAGCUAACUGUGUGAAUGAACUUGUUGGCUAUACAGAUAGUGACUGGGCAGGAGAAGAGAAGGCAAAGAGCACCUCAGGUUAUGUUUUUGAUAUUGGUUCUAGGGUAAUAUGUUGGUCAUCCAAGAAGCAACAAGUGGUAGCUCUUUCAUCAGCUGAAGCAGAGUAUGUUGCAGCAAAUAGGUGUGCAACUCAUGCAAUUUGGCUGCGUCGAAUUCUUCAAAACUUGCAUCAAGAACAGAAGAGGCCUACACCAAUCUUCUGUGACAACAACUCAGCCAUUUCUUUGUCCAAGAAUCCAGUUUUCCAUGAGAGGACAAAGCAUAUCCAUGCGAAGCAUCAUUAUAUUCGAGAUUUGGUGAAGAACAAAGAAAUUGCAGUCCACUACUGUCCUUCUGGAGAACAAGUAGCUGAUAUAUUUACAAAGCCUCUUAAUGCUGCAGCUUUCUUAAAGCUGAAGGAGCUGAUGGGGAUGAUAAAGUUUGAAGAUCUUGGCUUGGGUUUAAGGGAGGCAAUGUAGGAUAAUAAACCAAGCCUUAGGUAAAUAUUUUAACUCCUACAUAGCAGUAACNNNNNNNNNNNNNNNNNNNNNNNNNNNNNNNNNNNNNNNNNNNNNNNNNNNNNNNNNNNNNNNNNNNNNNNNNNNNNNNNNNNNNNNNNNNNNNNNNNNNNNNNNNNNNNNNNNNNNNNNNNNNNNNNNNNNNNNNNNNNNNNNNNNNNNNNNNNNNNNNNNNNNNNNNNNNNNNNNNNNNNNNNNNNNNNNNNNNNNNNNNNNNNNNNNNNNNNNNNNNNNNNNNNNNNNNNNNNNNNNNNNNNNNNNNNNNNNNNNNNNNNNNNNNNNNNNNNNNNNNNNNNNNNNNNNNNNNNNNNNNNNNNNNNNNNNNNNNNNNNNNNNNNNNNNNNNNNNNNNNNNNNNNNNNNNNNNNNNNNNNNNNNNNNNNNNNNNNNNNNNNNNNNNNNNNNNNNNNNNNNNNNNNNNNNNNNNNNNNNNNNNNNNNNNNNNNNNNNNNNNNNNNNNNNNNNNNNNNNNNNNNNNNNNNNNNNNNNNNNNNNNNNNNNNNNNNNNNNNNNNNNNNNNNNNNNNNNNNNNNNNNNNNNNNNNNNNNNNNNNNNNNNNNNNNNNNNNNNNNNNNNNNNNNNNNNNNNNNNNNNNNNNNNNNNNNNNNNNNNNNNNNNNNNNNNNNNNNNNNNNNNNNNNNNNNNNNNNNNNNNNNNNNNNNNNNNNNNNNNNNNNNNNNNNNNNNNNNNNNNNNNNNNNNNNNNNNNNNNNNNNNNNNNNNNNNNNNNNNNNNNNNNNNNNNNNNNNNNNNNNNNNNNNNNNNNNNNNNNNNNNNNNNNNNNNNNNNNNNNNNNNNNNNNNNNNNNNNNNNNNNNNNNNNNNNNNNNNNNNNNNNNNNNNNNNNNNNNNNNNNNNNNNNNNNNNNNNNNNNNNNNNNNNNNNNNNNNNNNNNNNNNNNNNNNNNNNNNNNNNNNNNNNNNNNNNNNNNNNNNNNNNNNNNNNNNNNNNNNNNNNNNNNNNNNNNNNNNNNNNNNNNNNNNNNNNNNNNNNNNNNNNNNNNNNNNNNNNNNNNNNNNNNNNNNNNNNNNNNNNNNNNNNNNNNNNNNNNNNNNNNNNNNNNNNNNNNNNNNNNNNNNNNNNNNNNNNNNNNNNNNNNNNNNNNNNNNNNNNNNNNNNNNNNNNNNNNNNNNNNNNNNNNNNNNNNNNNNNNNNNNNNNNNNNNNNNNNNNNNNNNNNNNNNNNNNNNNNNNNNNNNNNNNNNNNNNNNNNNNNNNNNNNNNNNNNNNNNNNNNNNNNNNNNNNNNNNNNNNNNNNNNNNNNNNNNNNNNNNNNNNNNNNNNNNNNNNNNNNNNNNNNNNNNNNNNNNNNNNNNNNNNNNNNNNNNNNNNNNNNNNNNNNNNNNNNNNNNNNNNNNNNNNNNNNNNNNNNNNNNNNNNNNNNNNNNNNNNNNNNNNNNNNNNNNNNNNNNNNNNNNNNNNNNNNNNNNNNNNNNNNNNNNNNNNNNNNNNNNNNNNNNNNNNNNNNNNNNNNNNNNNNNNNNNNNNNNNNNNNNNNNNNNNNNNNNNNNNNNNNNNNNNNNNNNNNNNNNNNNNNNNNNNNNNNNNNNNNNNNNNNNNNNNNNNNNNNNNNNNNNNNNNNNNNNNNNNNNNNNNNNNNNNNNNNNNNNNNNNNNNNNNNNNNNNNNNNNNNNNNNNNNNNNNNNNNNNNNNNNNNNNNNNNNNNNNNNNNNNNNNNNNNNNNNNNNNNNNNNNNNNNNNNNNNNNNNNNNNNNNNNNNNNNNNNNNNNNNNNNNNNNNNNNNNNNNNNNNNNNNNNNNNNNNNNNNNNNNNNNNNNNNNNNNNNNNNNNNNNNNNNNNNNNNNNNNUUACUUCAAUCCACAACUUGAUUGCUGUUUUCAACCUAAAGUUCAAUGUUGCUCCUUAGCUUAAAAAUAAUUGGACCAUUCCCAGAACUCUAAUAGCUUGAAUUCCUGGGUCCACUGGUUGUCUAUCGUGGUAGAAAAGCCCUGGUUUCAGGAGCUCUUCACUGCAUAUAUUCAUUUUGAUUUGCACAUGGGUGCAUUUUUAAUGUAGAUUACUAGACCAUUUCCUAAGUUUAAGUUUUCAAGUUCAGUAUCCAUCUAAGACCAACAACGUUAAAUACUACAAGCUAAAGCAAAAGUAGGACAUUAGCAGAUCCAAGUAUUUUCUGCAGUGUGAACAGUAGUGAAACAUUUAACUGAUAAAGUAUAAUAGAAUAACAGUUUAAUCUUAUUUUCUUGUUUCAUUGUCUUAAUGAUAUUGAGAUUCAGUCUACUAAUCAUGUGUAGUAAGACCGCAAAUCAGACCACUCUUCACAAAUAAGAAAAAGAAUAUGAGAAAGGACCAUCUCCAGCAGCAGUGAAAAUCAAAAAUUGAUAUAUUUAUGAAGGUAUAAGGUUGUUGGUAAUCCUUAUAUAAAACAAAACACAACCUAUGAAGCCUAAAACAAUUGAGAGAUUAGUCUUACACAUCUGAAGAACAAGUUUGAAGAAGUAGAAGAACCAACAUGAACUCAUGGAACUCAGGUAAAAUCAUGCAUAUGCAUUUCAUGGUUUUUCACUGAGGAUAGCAAUAUUGUCUGCCAUCCUAAAAAUCUGGGUUUUCAGCUUUUUGAUCUUUAGUUCUGUUGUCUUAUGUUUAAGUUUCUUUACCCUUGUGGCAUUAAAUUUAUGUUUGGGAAAGAUCCUAAUUUGAAUUUCAAAUUGACAACUAGAAUAUUUAAAAGUCUUGCCUUUAUGCUCAAUUUAGUCUAGGGUUGAGAUCUUUUGUUGUGCCAACCCGUGACCAAAUGGUUUGCUGUAAUGAUGCCCAGAUCAGAUGUAUUUGUCUGAGUCUAGACCAGUUCUUGUUGGCUAAGUCGUGGUCCACUGAUGGACUGAGUAAGAGGUUAUACAACCUUAUUGCUCCAUGUUUAAAUCAAACUUGUUUUAGGAAAGGUAUCACUGUGUCCUUGAGUUGGCUCGUGACAAUCAUGUUGGAUCUGCAGCUGUCUUUAUUUGAUAUCAGAGAAAAGUGGUUUGCUAAACUAAUGUGGUAUUAUGCUUUUGGGAAAAAUUUUGCAAAACCUUUUGUCUCUUGCUUUUAAAUCAAACAUUGUUUAGGAUAGUUUUGUUUGUUUCUUUCUUGGCCUAGAACAGCUGUAUAUGUCCUCUCCCUUUCAGAGUUUGGCCAAAGACAAAAGUCCAAAACUCCUUUCUUGCUUUGGCCCUCGUGCUUGCCCUCUUGUGGCAUCUCUUUGGCUUGGGUCUCUCUCUUGUUAGAGCACUCCAUCAGCUUAUAUAUAUUGAGCAAGGCUGCCUUUGCUCAAUGGUUGUCAUAAUGUAGUUCUACAUUUGCUUUGUUGGGUUUCUCCCUUUGUUGGGUUUUUGGUUUUACUUUGCAUUGUUCAUUAGUCACUAAGUCUUCAUUUUGUGAUUAUAAACCUUAGAGCUGAACAAAACAUCUUCUCAUAAACUCAUUGCAUUCUGCAUACCAUGAGAUCAUUGGUAGUGCAGCAACCCAAGAAGUGUUCAUGAAAGAAGCAGCUGAGGAUAGCUGAGUUCUGAUGUAUCCAGUUGAGGUAGCUGGGUUCAUGAAAGAAUCAGUUUAGGAUAACUGAGUUUCUAAGAGUGAAACUUCUUAGAAGUCUUCAAGAAGAAUCAGUUAAGUAAUAGCUGAGUUCUGAGUUGAAACUUCUUAUACCUUCAUAUGUAGCCACUUAGAGACAAGAGAUGUAGAUCUAGACUAGUUUGGGACUAGGUAGGAUAACAAGUCGUUGCUGUUUCCUAUACUGUAAUCUUGUAAGGAGUGAGGUACUCAGAAACAAGAGAGAAAGUAUAGAUCUAGAUUAGUGGGUAGUUUAAGCAGGAUAGCAAGUCGUUGAUGUAUCCCUAGACUAUAAUCUUGUAAGAAGUGAGUUUUACAUAGUGGAAAGGUUUGUCCCUCAAGAGUUAGAAGCAUGCAGUUUUUCUCUCUGGUUGCAGGGUUUCUGCGAGUAAAAAAAAAUCUUGAUGUUCAUUGUUAUUUUACUGCAACUUUUAUUUAUUGUCAUUGUAUAUUUGUUAUUCAGGAUAGCUAUAACCCUUGUUAUCCCUGAGAACGAAUUUAUAUAUCACGUAAAAUAUCUUACAAAGAAUGUAUUAAAUUAUAGCUAGCCUCAUCUGAGUCACCUUGCUAGCUAUAUUUAGCUAGCGAGAUAACUAAAAGUCAUAAUAGCUAAACUUUGGCUAGUCUGCUGGAGCACUAAAAAUAUUUAAAAAAACUAAAUACGCUCUCUAAAAUAACUAAAAGCUAAAAUAGAGAGUCUAUUAAAGUUGCUCUAAGGUGUACCGUUUCGAGUCUCUGCAGAAGAUGAGUCUUAAACUGACGAACUCCCUGUCCACUUGACGGUGGAUCCAUUUUUUGUGCCUCUAGAAAUCCAUGGAAGCGGCCUGUUUGAACAAAAUAUAUUAAUAUAUAGACAAUAAAUUCUUUUUCCACUGCCCAACAAGGAAGUACUUUCUGCCAGAUCCACAGCAUCAUAUAAUACGAUCUUAAGAGCAAGUUAUGCAGAAUAUGCUGAGAACACUAAGAUUCUAUCCUCAUUGAAUAAAGAAACUAAUAAACUCUUCUUAAAAUGUCAUACAGGUGUUAUGAUUACCCAUCAUAUCUUGUCCUUGCUACAUUUUAGAAUCAUUUUUAACUACCAUCAAGGAAAUGCUGUCUACCAUUUUCAAAGCAUAAUAUAAAUUCAUGGUACAAAAACUGAUAGUUCUAAGCUAAUUAAGAAGGAUAUUGAAGCAAAGAACAUUAAGAUUCUAUAAUUUUAGAUAUAAAUAUAUUCAUUUAGAAAUGAUCGGAAUAUAAAUUAAGCUCAUAUUCUUAGUCAUACUUUCAUCUCCUAGUUAUUGUUUACAGUCCAGAAGCAGUAACAGUUCACUCACUAGCCCCCCAAAUAACUUCCUCUCUUAGUGAUUGGUAGUUGCAUCUCAAACUCUACAAAAGCAACUUUACAAGGAGGUUACAAUAGACAACCACCAAACAUUAUGAAGAGCAUCUCAAAGCAGCCACUAACAUCACGAAUAGUGUCAGGUAGACAGCGUCAAUUCGGUAGCCCACCACUCUAAAGUAAGCAAAAUAGCGGACAAGAAACACAUGAUGGGAGUUUUGGAACUUCCCUGUAAACUAUUUACACCUUAAUCUUUGGCUACAAUACGAAAUUCCUAUAGCACGAGGAGAAUCUGGAGUUACUUUGGGAUAAUACUGAGCUUUCAGCUUCUCUUUGGUCAGGCAUUCUGAAGGCAUCCUUGCUUUAACAAGAAAGCCUUGCACAUCGGAGAACUAUAUAAAUCAACAAGACAUCAAUCCUGACAACAAGUACCAGCUAUAUGGAUUCCCAAUUGCAGUCUAUCCUCAGAACAUACACAUAUCCAACUCAACUGCAAGCCUACUAGUGUCCCUAAAUUGACAGUAUCCGUCCGCCACUUCUCUUCCCCUUUGCCAGGACCUAAGACUGAUUGAGGCAAAAGAACAUCAUGUCCCCAAAAACUAUUCUUCAAAAUUCCUUAUAAUUUCCUUCAAAGGAACUCGAUUCCAAUUCCAUCAACCUAGCUACCAUUACACUACUCCUAUUCCUUUGCUAAAACUAUCAAACUAAGCAGGAACAUCUUUCCUAAACAAUGAACAAAUUCCAUCAACAUAUAUUUAUCAUUUGCAUAUACAUAACUCAACUAAAAAAUCACUACUAUCAACUCUAAAAAGUAAAAACAACAACGAAAUGGCAAACCAAUUAGACAAAACUACUUAAACUAGCAUAAGAGGGUCAAAAAGAAUUGACAUACAUAGAUAAGCAACCCUAGGGUUGUCCUCCUCAAUCUCAUUGGCAACCCUGAAAAUGGGAGCAAUAGAAGAAAGGCAGGAGGGCACAACUUCCCUGUCCAAAGCAUCGUCGCCUUUCGUCUGAAAGUCCACAACUCUAGCAGCCAUUCUCGUCAUCCCCCUCGACAGCGACCUCUGCCGCCCCGACGAGUUCGGCGCCUUGGUCCCGCUCGAGCUCGCCAUUCCUUCAAUACUAGUCUCCUCACUGAUUCUGAUGAAAAUGAGAGGUGUCAUCUGUUUUGGAGGGUUUUAUGUAGAGAAGGGUGUGAUGAUACUUUGGGAGAAGAGGGGCAAAGUGGGGAAUUGGAAGUGUUUUUGUUUUGGAGCUUCUUUUGUGAGUGCUUUUGCUUUACAUUUCUUAAGAGCGGAGAGGUUUGAGGGAUAAACAAAUCUGCCAUCGCCAUUGCUUUUUCUCUCUUUCUGUCUAUCUGGGUCUUUUUCUUCUUUUUCGCUUCUUUCUUUGUUUUAAAAAUGGUGGAGUUUUUUGCUUGCCCCGGAAGUUUUACAGGGCGGGAACUGUGCAUGGGAGAAAGAGAGCGGCGGGCCACCACCAACACUCUUUUUUUUUUUUUUUUUUUUUAAUUGACCUAAAAGGCAAGUAGUUGAUAAAGCAUUACAAGUUUACAACACUACAAGAUUUGGGGAAAAUGUGAAAUGCAAACCUGUGCUCAAACCAAGUGUUCUUUGGAGUGUCGGGGAUGGUAGACAUGUCAACAUUUGGCGAGACAAAUGGAUUCCUGAGUGUUCACUGUUCACAAUAUUUGAUUCAAAAACCACCAAACUGUGUGUUUGAGCUUGUGUCGGAUGUCAUUGACACUAACUAACGACCUGAGGUUGCUCAAAGGUCCUGUGUCUUCCUUUAAGUGAACGAAACUUGGGGGACAAGCUUUGUUGAAGCCCUGAAAAGCGUAGUUUUUACUCAGGUUAAAACGGCAUUUGAAGAAAGAGAAGUGCGCUAAAUUGAUGAUGAUGAUAUGGUCCUGGUGGAAGAACAGGAGCAAUAUGCUAUGGAAUAAUACGAAUCAAAACUCCUCAUGAUUUGAUGCAGGGAGCUUUAGCUUGGUUGGUUUCAACAAGGCAAGAACUGUGUCAAAGCAAACUCAGAUCGACAACCAAGCAAUGCUGGAGCCUACAACACUAUGGAGAUGUAAACUAAAUGUCGACGGCAGUUUUUUACCUUCAAUUACUCAUCCUUGAACCGUGGAACCGGGGGUCGUACUAAGAGAUGAUAAGGGUAAUUUCAAAGCAGCUUUUGCUAUCCCUAUAUUUUCAGUGGCUUCAGCGGAACAGGUGGAAUUAUGUGCCAGGUUUAAAGCAGCUUGAAACAAUGAAGAUUAUCAAUGUGGUAAGGGACUAUAUGGAAGCCAUUACAAACAUCUCAGAUGUGCAAAGUAUGCAUCUUGGAUUGGAGGGCCUUCUGCAAGAUAUUAGAGCUGCAAUCUCUCUAUACCAGGUAUGUCUGCAACAUGCAAGUAGAGAUUGUAACAGGGGUAGCACAUUGGCUUGCAAACACUGCAUAUGAGGAUACCAAUAGAUCAGUUUGGCUAGACAACCCACCUAUAUGUAUUCUUGAUAUUCUAAAGCAUGAUGUACCUAACCUGGGUGGCUAAUAUGCGCCCAGUGUUUCAAUAUAUUAACACCAUUCCAAGGAAUUAAAGAACAUUUGGGAAUAAUAUAUCAUAAACCAUAGUGACAAAAAGCUCUGCAUUCUUUUAUUACUUCAGGAUUUAUGUACCAUUAAUAUACACUCUCAUCACGUAUACAUUGUUGAAAACAUCCAUAUGAGAAUCUUCUACAUGUAAACUGGGUGUGUAUAAUACGACUCACAGGAUGAUUAACUUUUGCAGUGAUGGAAAGCAUUCAUUGCAGAAUGUGCCUCUAGCAGUCCUGCGAUACAACUCUGCACAUGAACCAAAGGCAAAAGUCGGUAGGAUCCACAUAUCUGCAGUAGAAAUGGUAGUACAGGACAACAGGUGAGCCACCAUGUUCAUUUGAACUUCGUCUGAAGUGCAUUAGUCUAGAAUCAUUUGCAUUUCUGCAUCAGCAUUCUCGAAACCUCUUCUUCAGAGACAAGAUAACAAUGAGAGCUACAUGAGUUUUCCUUAUACGGACUUGGUCGCAACGCCUGCAUUGUACAAAAAAGUCAAAUUAAUGUCUGAAUGUCUUCCCUUCUUAAAUGAUAGAAUCCCAUAAUUUAAUGAAAAAGUUUCCAGGCUUUGUAGGAGAGAAAAAACAAGAUUAAAUGUCAGCACAAUGGAAUAAAAUAAGAACCAGACCUGAUUAUUUGAACUUGUCACAGUAGCCCAUUGACGAGGAUGCUGUGGCCCCACUCCAGCGUGGCUGAUGAAUGCAAUUGUUGUUGAUUGUUCCCGUCGGCGAUUAGUGUGGGGGUGGCAAUUCUCUCAUGAACCACAACACAAAAGCUGAGGGUACCCAAGAGCCUGAAGAUAGAAGGGAAGAUAAUACUUGAUGACUAACUUUUUUAUUUUUGGUCAAAAAUACUUGAUGACAAACUUGAAAAGCAAAAUUGCAAGCAGCUGAAAAUGGAAGAUAGUAUUACCUAUAAAAUAGUACAGCAUCAGGAAAACUAGCGCUUUCCCGCCAUAUGCUUUUUUCAGACUCCAAGGAUCAUAUAGCUGGCAAAGAAUUAAAGUGAAUGGUAAACAUGAAAGAAGUGGCACAAAGCAGUAAGUAAGAUCGUUCCUUACUGCCAAGGGCUGCCAGAUGACACAGCCUUGGACUUGGCUGCGGUUUUGCGCAUGGUGAUUCUGCCCCCACCGAAGAUGUUAGAUGCAGCUGGACUAAGCUGCGCAGCUUGGCCAGCUAGAGAAGGAGAAAACAGAGCCAUUGUUGACGCAGCCAUUUGAGAAAAAUGUAUCUAGUCUGGUUAGACUUGGAUAAUGGGAUGUGAUGGCUGUUUGUUUUGUGAUGGUAAGAGACCUUGGUGGGCAUAUUUAUAGCUCUGGUGAUAGGGAUUAUGCAUUAUCUGUGUGAUAUCUUUAUCUCUAUUCUCAUUGGUGAAAAUGAAGUUCAAAGAUUUUCAAUAUAUCUUCAUGGAGAAAAUCUUCUACUCUGAUAUCUUUAUCUCUACUCUCAUGUGAUUCUUUCUAGUUGGCAUCAGAUGUUCCACUUGUUUAGUUCAGAAAAUCUGAAAGACAAUGAAGAGAUUAUCUCAUUGUUUUCAUUUAUUUUUAAGUUUAGAUACUUUCAUCUGUAGCCAGUAGUAUUUCCAAGUAAUGACACAUUCAUUUCCAGUUGGCUUGUGAUUUUAUAUGGUGUUGAGAGCAUCAACAUAUAUGCUUUGAUCUCAGUCCAAUAGACUUUUGGUAAGCAAUCGGCAAGUCAAUGAGACCAAAGGAUUAUAGGAUAGCAGGGAAAUAUUUACAUGUGAGAAUCUGUGAACACUGAAUCUAACAAGAAUUUAGUAUUUUAAUUAUGACACAGAAAUUGAUCUUACUGUACAAAGAAAAUCCUUGAAACUAAUUUCAUUGUUGAUAUGAAUGGUGCAGACCACAUCCACAAUAUCAUGAUUGUAAAAUCAUUACUACUGAGAUACAAAUCUGAACUGGAAAGAUUUUUAUGCAGGGAAGUAGGAUUCUGAAGUUGAAUUACUAGUAUACUGGGGUUCUAUGUAUUUUAGUCGAAACAGAACUGAACUACAAAGUGAUCGAUUCUCAAGUGCUGAGCCUGUCGAAUACAUACUCAUCCUAACCUCAUUUGGCUUCAUUGAGCGUAAACUAAAUGAUAUAACCUUAUUUUCCAGUACUAGAGCAGAAAAGUUAGCUAAAGCAUCUCAACAACAUCAUCAUUAGCUAAACAAUCUGGAAUUUGAUGUAAUAUACAAAGUGACCAAUCUAACUCAAUGUCAUCACAGUUUUACUGUUAAUCAACUAAAGGAGUUGCAGCAACUCAAAUAAUAACUUGUGAGCUACCUUAUAUGAGAUUUGCUCGUAACUAACAAAGAUCUAGAAGCAAUCCAUGGUCAUGCAGUUACUCAACUACAUGAUAAUCAUGGCAACUCAAAUAAGGACUUAAUAUUACCACAUAUAUGAGUUCCCUAGCCAACAGAGAUUCUAGCAUAACUGAGUCAUUUGUGAGAUUAUGAUUGAAUUACAAAUCAAGACAAGAAAACAAACUCAUUAGUUGACACAAGUCCGACUGAGGAACAAACAUACCUGUCGGAGUAAAUGUAACUUAUUUAUAGUGUAGAGCAGUCGCCACCCCGGAUUCAAGAGGAGUCAGGUAUCCAAUCUUUUGGCAAUGACGAUUUGAAUAUUCGGAGGAGCAAUGUCCUCUCCUUUCUCCCUAGCUUCUUUGCACCAUAUCCACGGAAUACACCAAGCUUAAGUGCCUUUUUCCCUUCUUCCACCGCUUGUUUUCUCACGGCCACCAAUAAAUCUGUCCCUUGGGGAUCAAUGCUGUUCUCUUCUUUUUCACUUUCACAUUUCUCUUUGUUUUCUGCAAUUGAACUUGCGCCAUCCGCUAGUUUGUUGGACUGAUGCUUGUUUUCUUCAUCAGCCUUAGCUGCUUCUCCACGGAUGCCCUUAUCACAAUCAAGGCUAUUGCUUCCCCACCAUCUAUUGGAUGCAGUUGAUAAACCUUCAGAUGGGAAUCCAUUUUUCAAUUCUUCCAAGGUUGUACCUUUGGUCAAGCUUAACGUGAGAAGAUUGUGAGGCCGUCCAGUCUGAACAUUUUUGCUUCCUUGCUGCUGCAAAUUAUUAGAGGCCAUGACACCUUGUGGUUUCGACUGCAUUACUGGGUGUUGGGAAUCACUGCAUUUAAAAAUGAAGGCUAAAGAAUAUGAAAGGGAACAAUGAACAAAAAAAGGUUCACCAGGAACAUUUAAUCUCAUGACCAAUCUGUUGGUCAAAAUGUCUAUCACGAUUGAGUUGGUUCAAACAAAACAAGUAGAAUGCACCAAAAGUAGUGUCACAGAGAGGAAUAUCAAAGAUGAGUAACAAUAAACAAAGAGGGUAAACACCACCAGGUAGCAGCUUUAGAUUAGUAUUUUAUGAUUCUCAGACUCUUCUUCAGACAUAGUCAGAUAUACAUAACUUAUAAGGUUUGAUGGCUAUCUGCUUCAUCAAUGAUCUAAAGACAGGAUUUUGAUGUGAUUUAUUUUCAAUAUCCAACAAUAUUUCUGACCCAUGUGUAAUUGAUUUCAGUAUAUCAUUAGAUGUGCAGCACAAUCUUCUGUUCUUUGGUUAUGUAUCCGUAACCCAAAACCAACCAACUCUAGAUAAAUCUAAGCCUAACAAGAAGUCAUCAAGUAAUAAAGGAUAUGCAGUCAGGGGGAUCAGCAAUCAUUUGAAACCCGAGUCCCAAGUGUGUGCCAAGUGAGCGUCUGAUCAACACACAAGCACGAUGCAAAAUGCUCUCCUAACCUUCAAGCAAAAGAGACUUGGGCACCAUAAUCUCUAAAAUAGCAUCUCAAGCACCCGUAAGAUCUCACCUUUGGCGAUUAUAUCAAAUACAGGACCAAGAGUAGCCGAAGCUAGAUUGCGAAAAACAUCAGAUCUUUAUGUACCAAUCUUUGGCAUCUAACUUCGUUGCUUCUAUUCUUCUCCAGACAAAUUGCAUUCUCUACGAAUAUGCUGCAAAUUUCACUCCUAAUCUAUGGACAUCCAACCCAAAAUCUUGACCAAACCUUUUCAACUUUUCUAGAGUAGAUUCAAAAUCAUUUAGCAACACACACACAAGGGAAUCUAAUACAAAAAGCACAGACCUUUUGGAAGCAUGAAUUUGAAGGUUCUUUCGGGAAUUAAAACGUAAAGACAUAAAAAAGCGAAGCACAGGAAACAGAAUAAGAGAGAAGCUCGCUUACAAUUGGGCUGUUGUUGUUGACUUGUUGUGGCUGCUGUUCUAGUGUGGCUACUGCUUAAGCUCUCAAUUUCAGACACCCAAAAGUGGAGAGCUCAGAGUCGAAGAGCGCGUCGGCUACUUGAAAGACAAAAGUCUCUCUGUUCUAUAUUGUUUAAGCAACCAACACGUGGCAGAAUCGUGUUUCUCAGGAUUCGAAUAUUCUAUUAUGUGGUAACCGGUAAGAUUGAUCGAGCGACCUAAUACCUAAUGUCUAGUGUUCGAAUUCUAACUCCUCCUGCUUUGUGGCCUUCAGAAUUGGGAACUUUGGAUUAGCAAAGCGGGGGGUACAGGCUCUAGACGACAUCAUUGCCAAUUGCUUCUAAUCUGCCAAGUUUAAAAACAAUUUUUUUUUUUUUACCCUUUUCUUCUGAAUAUAAAUUGACGAAAUUUACCGCGGAAUGUUUGAAUAAAUUUCACAAGUACUAGACUAUUCUUCUAUUUUAAGGCGCCUCUAUAGAUUGAAAAUGAAAUUUGGAGCUCAUCAUCCUGAGAUUAAAGGAGGUACAGAAUCUGGUUUAUGAGGUAUAUGUUGAACCAUAAGGUGUCUACUAUGAAGCUUACUAAGCCAAAGCUAGUCAGCUAGAGGUUCUCUGCUCCAAAUGAAUAUUCAAAAUUUUCAAUUUAAAAUCAAAAGCUAAAAUCAAUAGCAGUUCAUGAAUCAAGUGAGCUUCUAUCCUAAUGAUGUACAUGAAAAAUACAAGAAAAAGAUAUACAAGUCACUCUACUUGAUCUGCCUCAUAAAAACUAACUCCUAUGAUGCUAUAGAAUUUCACAUGAAUAAACUAGUGUGGACAUGACCUGAGAUGAUAAGAACUUCACAGUGCAUGGCAUCUUAAGUUCAUUCCCUAGCUUGAAGCCGUCGUCUUAUCCUUCCUUCCGGCAAGAAUCAUAGAAAUUUGUAGGCCUCGACUGAAUGCUUGGUUGAAGAGCAACCGUGUUUGGAACUCUGAGACAAAUGGGAACCAUGACAAAAUGGCAACAGGCGCGAAGACUACUACUCCCAUUAUAUAAUCAUAUGCUCUUCCCAGCUCCUUGAUUGAUUCCCAGAAUCCUACUCCCUUAAGCAUUGGCCUGCAUACUUGCCCGAUCUAGGAAGGACAAUAUAUAAAUGGUUUCAGUGAAUACAAUCCAUUACAAAACACUUGUGUACAAAAAGAAAAGAAGAAAAAAAAAACUACUGUUAAGAGAACCAAGAUACACCCUAUUUAUUUUAGUCUGAGGAGUACUAAACGGAUGAUAUAGUCUAAGAUGUGUACUAGUAUAAUACAUGAAAUGAGAAAUCUGAAGGCACUAAGUGCAGAUAACCAGAGACAGAAAAGAUACUUACAAGAAGAAGUGCCCACCCUGUGGGCAAGAAGGCAAGGAUAGAGGCAAACAGAUCUGAAAUAGUAAGCCCACAGACAACAAAUAGUACAGUCAUGACCGACAUGAAACCAAGGAAAAGAAGUGCUUUCAGAAUUCUGAACAUGAGCUGAAAGUCGGUGCCAAAUCUUCGUCUACCCAUUGACACCAUCUGACAGAAAUGUAACAAACAAGCAAGUAACAUCAUUCAUUUGAUACUAUAUAAACUUCCCAGGAAAAAAUGAUACUGAUAAAAGUAGAAAAGGUAUGCACAAACUGUCAUGUUAUCUAUAACGUUAUCUAUAACUCGAAUGAACCUAAACAACUUAUACUUCAAAAACAUUCAUAACUUACACGUAAAAAUUUGGCUUAAUCUCUAAACAAAGUUUAAUGCUUUAUUUGCGAUUUUCUUGUGCAUACCUUUAAGACGAGAAGCACUGUUACCAUAACCACCCAAGAAAGUCCAUAAACCUACACACAAAUUGAAAAAAGGUGGUCAGUCCUGAACGUCAAAAGCAAAAAGAGACAACAUACUGAUAUAUAUUUGAACAUAAAUAGUACCAGUAAACUCUUGCUGAAAUGAGCUAUAUCGAGGUGGUAAACAAUCCCAUAUUGGUAAAAGAAGAAGCGAAAUGCAAGCAUUAUCUCAAGAAUUCUUCCACGGAUAAUAGUGUGCUUAAGGUGUUCCUGCUCUUCAUCCCACCAUGAUUCCCAACUUUUGUCAGGUGAGAUCCCAAUACCACCACGAUUUCCCAUCCACCUCUUCCAAUCAGUCCAAUCAUCUACAGUUUUUUGCCAGUCAAAGCUGGACGGAUUAAAGAUGAAUGGAGCAAACAACCAGGAAGCAACCAGAAACCACAUGGAGAAUGUGAUGAAAAAAUACAGAUUUGAACUCCUAUAAGCAUUCCCGUAGACUCCAUAUACAAUCAGCAGAAUCAACAGCUCCAACCCUUUCACAAAGUGACUUCUUGAGUACAGCCUGUAGUUAUCGGCAAACUUUGCAUGAAAAACCACAAAACCACGGCCAGUUGCUCUAUAUUUAGAUCCACCAUGUAAGAUUGUCCUUCCGUAAUAAUGUGCUUUUGUUCCUAGUUGGAAAGUGAAGAAAACAGAAGCCAGCUGCAGCUGCAUGAUGAUGAAAUCACCCAAGGCAGUGCGAAAUCCUUUCUCCAGACCAAUUUCCAUAACCAUGGGGAGGACCAGCAACAACCCCAGUUGAAAGACAGACUGUGUAGCCAGAGCUUCUUCAAAAGCCUUGGUCUGAUGUAUGGCUGGGCUAUCCAGGAUCUCACUUUCC